AUCGUCUCGUUGAGACAUUGGUUUGAUAUAGUAUAUUCGCAAUUUUAGAUUGCAUCCGCUAUUUAUCUUGUUCUUGCUUGUUCUUCGAUUGCUUGCAGGAACAAAGACCUUCGUGGUCAGGUUGAUCGUGCCCCCGCGUGAUCAAUAACCCUUUGGAGUUGGUGUAUCGAUUGCUAAGGCGCUGCCUCCUAGGCCGUAGUCGGAUCGUCAACGUCACCUCCUACCCAAAUCGAGAGUUACCAAUCUCAUCGAAAGAUCGGGCCACCCGCACCCGUAUCACGUGGUAAUAUGCUCAAUAAUGCUAGUCCUAGCUGCUGGAGUCGAUAAGAACGAAUUACAGAAAUAAUCUAAGCCUAGAUACUGAAGAAGGUAGGAAUAGAUAGAUCAAAAGAUGGCACAACAAGUAAAUCCCUGGGAUUUUUUUUUCUUUUUUUUUCUUUUUGUGGCCUUCUGUUUGGCUUCUUAUUCUUUUCUUCUUCUUUUUUUUUUUCUUUUUUUUUAACCCCAGAAACUCACGCAAAAGAGGGACCGGAAAACUGUACGUCGGUCUACUGAAGAACAGCAAAGGCUGCAGUAAGAAAAAUUCAGAAAAAUAUGGAAAAAUAUGGGUUAGAAGGGUAUCGACACAAGCUUUCCAGCAAGGGCAAGAUCACUCAAAACGGAUGUCGGACGGUGGAGAAAACUGAGAAACACCGGGCUGCAGCGAUGCCGGAAAACGGAUGCAGAAACUUGGAAGCUCCGAAAGUCCACCUUACAAACCGAAUUUGAGGGUCAAAGUGCAGGGCAAAGCCCUGGAUAUUUCCUGAUGCGCCUCGUCGUGAGCUUUCCAAAAAGUACAAGAACGUUGAAAUCCGAGUUGGUACGCAAAAGAUACGCCCGUUUUACUGAACACGGGUCAAACCCACCCGAAACUAAAAUUCUACUCGGACUCGGGUCCGAAACUGACUCGAACUCUUUCUCUUUUUUUUUUCGUUUUUUUUUUCCUUCUUUCUUUCCUUUUUUUUUCAACUUUCCAAACAACUUUAUCUCUAAACAAAAUUCGAUCUAUGAUGAAACACUUUCCAAAAGCACUCCUUAUUGGACUCGGACUCGGAUUCGCGGCUGAAAACUAUAACUUGCCGACUCGAUGUAGGACUCGACGAGGGACUCGGUGUAGGACUCGAAGAGGGACUCGGUGUAGGACUCGAUGAGGGACUCGGUGUAGGACUCCAAGAGGGACUCGGUGUAGGACUCAAAGAGGGACUCGGUGUAGGACUCCAAGAGGGACUCGGUGUAGGACUCGAAGAGGGACUCGGUGUAGGACUCGAUGAGGGACUCGGUGUAGGACUCAAAGAGGGACUCGGUGGAAGAUAUGGUGGCGGCGGAAGAUUAUGGCGGUGGUGUGGCAGGAAGUUUGGCGGCGGAAGAUUGAUGAAGGAAACCUGCGUCACACGAAGAACAAGAAAACCAAAAGCAAGUUCGAUCUAGUAGAAAAAAAUCUGAAAAACGAUCCAAUCUAAUCCAGCAACUCGACACGAUUAAUGCAGCAAAGAUUCAACAAUGCAAAUACUAAUGUGAAAAUUGCAAGGCUCAGAUUGGUUCUAGGACAAGGUAACUAAUUCUAAUUUUUGUUUGGCUUUUUCUGGACGAUAGGUAAAAACAGAUCUAAACUACGGAUAAACUGGAAAAAUCUCACCGAGCAACCUUAAGCUCUGAUACCACGUGAUACGGGUGCGGGUGGCCCGAUCUUUCGAUGAGAUUGGUAACUCUCGAUUUGGGUAGGAGGUGACGUUGACGAUCCGACUACGGCCUAGGAGGCAGCGCCUUAGCAAUCGAUACACCAACUCCAAAGGGUUAUUGAUCACGCGGGGGCACGAUCAACCUGACCACGAAGGUCUUUGUUCCUGCAAGCAAUCGAAGAACAAGCAAGAACAAGAUAAAUAGCGGAUGCAAUCUAAAAUUGCGAAUAUACUAUAUCAAACCAAUGUCUCAACGAGACGAUAAGUUGGGGUUCCGAAAGCGGUAAAACAGGUGGUCUAACCGACACACGCGAUUACACGAAGUAGUAGCGAUGGCUAACUUUUAACUAAACAAAACCCAAGGCUCCUUAGGGGGGCUCAUGGGGUAUAUAAAGGAGGAGGGAGAGAUAUUUUCGUCCACCUUGAAUAAGGAGUCCGAAAUCCAACUCUAUCUCUAACUUUCCUAACAAACAACAACUCUUUAGGAAACAGAAAAACAGAUCCGUCUGCUUGUUUUGUCCGCCACGGUCAGCACGAGUCGAAUCUCUUGAUGGGGCCAGAUCCGUUGGAAAGGUCUUGUAAUUACCUUUCCAACAAGUACUUGUUUGCUUGAUUUGGACUUCGGAUGCGGUCUGGGUGAUUAAAACAAAUUCGGGUCUCCUGGCAGCUCGGACCCGAAUCGGAUUCAACUUUAAUUCGUGAUAUCUUUCUCUAGCAAGCUCCGAAUCAUGUGCCGUUUGAUUUGUUGCAAAGUACACUUUAAAUCCUUCCCUCUCAGCUGUAUGAAUGCUUGAUUCUUGUUGGCCCUCCCGUUCGCCUCCAUCGUAUCUCAUCUUCACCUUGGACUUGAAAAGCUCGACAAGAUGCCUACGUAAUAAAACGAGACAAGAUAGUAGUAGCUCCGCCUCUUCAUAAUUAUGACAAUGAAAACAAUUACUACUUGAAUUCACCUGAUUAUAAAUCUUGUCAAAUAUUAUAGAAUUGAGGGCACCAAAGGUCGUAUCCAUGGUUAGCAUGUCCAUAUCAGGUGACGCGCAUGGCGUCCUGAAUGCCCGCCAGCAGGAAGACAUGCGCAAGCGCUUGCAGCGCCGGUGCCCGCGCGAGAGAGAGCGCCAGCGCCCUGAGGAGCAGGGAGACACUCCUUCGGCCGCCGCCGACGGCUGCGCCGUGUUUACUCGCGAGCUUCGCCGGGUGACAUGGCCCCGCCAGUUCCGACCGUCGGCGCUCAGGACAUACGACGGGACCAUGAAUCCCAAGGAUUUUCUCCUGACCUACAUGUUGGGUAUCCACGCUAUUGAUGCCGACGACAAGGUUAGGGUCAACUGGUUCCCGAUGGUCCUGAAAGUAUCAGCGAGAACUUGGUGGCUGAACCUGCCCGCAGGGUCCAUCGCCUCCUGGGCGGACCUGCGCGAACAGUUCGUCAACACGUUCCAGGGCGGUUACAAGCACUUGGGAACCAUGGCUGAGCUGCACACGGUGGUGAAGAAGCCGGGGGAGACGUUGGGGGACUUCACCAACAGGUUCUCCAACAUCUCCUACUCGAUGCGAGAGGCGGAAGUGACCUCCGUCAUCAACACAUACGCCAUCAACGUCCGCGAUCCGAAGAUGUGUGAGAAUCUGAACACGCACCGGAUCAGGACCACUAGGGAUCUCUACGCCCUCGCGCACAAGGGCGCGAUGGCUGAGGAAGGGUGCUUGGCGCCUGAGCUUGCCGCUAAGGCAACGUCGAACCCAUCCGAGGGCUCCGAGAAGAAGGGCUCCCGAAAACGCAGCGGGAGCCCACCAAGAAGGCUGCGUCAGCAGGCGCAUCGGGGUAGCAAGCUGGCAACGGCCGCUCGCUGCCCCAUCCACACCAAUGCCACGCACGACCCACAUGACUGCUGCACUCUCCAGACUAUCAAGGAGAAGCACGAGAAGCGUCACGAGGAACGACUGCAGCGACGACGUCGACGAGCCAAGCAUCCAGGAGCCUCACGACGUUGCCUGCAUCCACAGGGGAGCAUACGCUCUCACGUCUCACGCCGCUGUGAAGCGUCUCACCGGUGAGGUGUGCGCCCUCCACCCCAGCAUGGAGGUGCAACAACCAUUGACGUGGUCGCAUGUGCCGAUUACCUUCAACUCGGACGAUCACCCGAUCCGUCCUUUGGGGUCAGGGGUCUUACCACUCGUGGUGUCACCAAUCAUCAACAACGUGACAGUGACCAAGGUUCUGGUGGACAACGGAGCGAAUCUCAACCUCCUAUCCGCCAAGUUGGUGGAGAACCUUUAGCUGCCCCUGGAGCAGAUGAAGCCCACCAACCUGUUCCGGUGGAUUAACCCCGGAGUGGUGCAGCCCAUGGGGCGAAUCACGCCCCCGGAGACUUUCGGGUCCCGGGAAGCGUUCCGGACUGAGCAUGUCAUUUUUGACGUAGCUCACACCCCGUUGCCGUACAACGGGAUCACUGGUCGGCCUGCGCUGGUUAAGUUCAUGGCUGUGACUCAUGGCGCCUACGGCGUGAUGAAGAUGCCGUCAACGUAUGGGGUACUCUCCAUCAAGUGCGACCUGAAGGACGCUGCUUGGUGCGUGGGCGAGGUUGUGAAGACCUUCGCAGUGGCGGAUCCCGGCGGCUUCGACGUUUCCUGGAACGAGGAUCCACUUGCUCCUCUGGUGGACCAGGAUCUCUACCGGAGGCGUCCAAAUGGAGUCAUCCUCCUCUGCGUGUCCCAGGAAGAAGGGCGCACGUUGCUGGAGGAUAUCCACCGAGGCACCUGCUCACAUCAUGUGGCCUCCAGGGCGCUGGCGGGGAAAGCGUUUCGGCACGGCUUCUACUGGCCAACAGCAUUAGCCGACGCCGAGCAGUUAGUCAAGACUUGUGAAGCCCUACAAGUCAGUUUCACGCCAAGAAGAGCAACCAGCCGGCUCAAGCCCUGCAAGUCAUCCCGUCCUCGUGCCUGUUUGCGGUAUGGGGGCGGGACAUCGUCGAUAAGAUGAAGAGAGCUUUCGGCGACUACGUGUACCUUCUCGUGGCCAUCGACAAGUUCUCCAAGUGGCUCGAGGUGGAGCUUGUGCGAGCUGUCACAGCACAUGCGGCCAUAAAAUUCUUCAAGGGCAUUGUGUGCCUGUUUGGUGUGCCUAACAAGAUCAUCGCCGACAACGGCACGCAAUUCACUAGCGCGGUGUUCCAAGCUUACUGCGAGGACUUGGGCACUAAGAUCCAGUUUGCCUCUGUCACUCACCCAAGGAGUAAUGGGCAAGUGGAGCGCGCCAAUGCAGAAGUACUGCGGGGGCUCAAGAUGAGAACCUUUGACAAGCUUAAGGGCCACGGGAAGAAUUGGGUCGAGGAACUCCAGCCUGUGCUAUGGUCGAUUAUGACCACACCAAGUCGGGCGACGGGCCAAACUCCGUUUGCCCUCGUCUAUGGGGUAGAAACUGUGCUGCCCCUUGAGCUCAAGCAUGGGUCGCCUCGGGUAAGCACGUACGUCGAUGAGAGCCAACACGCACAGAGGAUUGACGACCUCAGCUUCAUCGCGGAGAUUCGAUGCCGGGCUGCUAUGCAAGCUGCAGGCUACCAGCAGGGGCUCUGUCGUUGUCACGACAGGAGAGUCCAUCCCCGAGGCCUCGAGAUUACCUCGUCCUGCGCCGGAUACAAGGAACAAAGGCCGGGAAGAAGUUGACUCCAAACUUGGAGGGCCCUGUCCGGGUAGUGCAAGUGACCAGACCGGGGGUUGACCUGCUAGAAACUGAAGAAGGCUUGCCGGUGCUAAAUAGCUGGAAUAUUGAGCACCUACGGAAGUUCUACCCGUUGAAACGGUGGUGCCUUACCCACGGGUGACGCUGCUGCGGCGUGCCUCUUUAAGCUAGUGUAGCCGGGCAAGGCCCGAUUGUAAUCCACUAGCAGAAAUGUGAAUAAAGAUAAGUGUUGUUUCAAUCCGUGGUGUAUUUUUUUCCUGUUAAUGUUUGCUUCUGUCUCCUGCUCUAGGUGCACAGAAUUGUCUCCUCAUCCUUGGCUGUGAGCAGGGGGAUGCCGGAACCUUGAAAACCAAGUUCGUCGCUGGGUCACCCCGGAACGAGGUCAAGCAGUUGCCGGACCCGUUGGCAACGUGUUACAUGCCCGCGAGACACCAUGGAAAUAUAAGAGUGCUCACACCCAAAUCUGAGGUCGACUCUUCUUUGCCCGGGUGCUGGGAGGCAGGAGGUUAUCCAAUUUAUGCUGUUUUUCAUGUAUUUCGAAAUUUUUGUUAUGCACCUUGGGCGUCGCAAGAAUCUGACAUGCAGGUUAAAGAUGAGGACUCAGGCACACUGUGAUGCUCGUGGGGCUAUCACGGGUGUCGUCGUUUUGCAAGUAAGUUGUACAUAUAUGGCAAUUACUUCGAGGCUUGAUGCAUGAAACUGAGACAAGGACGGUGCCUCCAUGCGUUUGCUGGCGGUUCGGCGAGCGUGGCAGCAAGGGUAGCGCUUCGGCUAUUUAAAGACUGGAGCAAGUGCAACUCCAUCCACAGGCAAGAAGGCAAGUGAUGUCGCAGAGAGGCGAUGGUGGUGCCUGCCUCGGCGCUCAGUGCCGAGGGUGUUCCCACCAUCGCGUCCUUGCCACAUCACUCAGAAGACGAGCGAUGCCGCAGAGAGGAGGUGAUGGUGCAUGCCUCGGCGCUCAGCGCCGAGGGUGUUCCCAUCACCGCGUCUCUGCCGCACCCCUCGCAGGAGAAUUCCAGAUACGAGAAUCCACAGCCAGCGAGGCCGAAGGCGAGUGAUGCCGCAGAGAGGUGGUGGUGAUGCAUUCCUCAGCACUCUACGCCAAGGGUGUUCUCGCCACCGCGUCCUUGCCGCAUCACUCAUACGAGAGUUCCAAACACAAAGAUCUUCCAUCCGGCAAGAGAAUAGAAAGCUAAGUACUUCGCUUAGCGUUGUUAGCUUCCUCCUUUUUGGCACUGACAUGUAGGAAGGACGCUUGCGGGGGGAGUACGCUCCCCGUGCGAGUUCGCGGGUCCGUCCCGGAACUGCACGCCUGGCAGUAGUUAACUUGUAGGCGGGGUGCCUGGCCGCUGCUGUCUGGCCCCAAGUCGGCACCGCGGGUCCAUCCCGGGUCCCUAGUCCGGUUAGGCACGUAGUUGGCGAGUCACCGUGAACACAUGGCAUAACACGUAAAGAACAAAGUGAAUUUCCAUUGAACAAGACAGAAGUGUAGCGAAUGCAUUCACAAAUGAAUGCAUGAGAUAGUUGGGGCUAACACAAAAUGAACUAUAAGGCGCCUCGCGCAAGUUGCAGGAAAACAGAAAAGAAGAACAAAAGAUACAGGGAAUAACUAUGCAGGGGGCGUGUCCGGGGCGGAAGUCUCGGCGUCAAGCGCCUCCCCGGCGGCGGUCUCCUCCACGGCUUCAGCUUCAUCAGCACCAGCCUUGUUCUGCAUCCGCGCCACCAUCUCAUCCACCAUGCCCUGGACUGCUUCCCGGUGAGUCUUGGCCUCUUCCUCGUCUGACCAGGCGUCGAAGACUGACUCGAACGAGAAAUCAGGAUGCGCGGAGUGGACCCGGGUAAGGAUCUGCCCGACGACCUGCUCGGCGGCGAAGCCGACUUGCCGGUCCCUGAAGGCCGCGACGCAGUUCUCCAGGCCAUGUAGCCGGCUGACGAAAUCUGCAAAGGAGGUGAAGCUGCCGAGGUUCGCCUCGUCGAAGGAAGUCAUUGGGAUGUCGAACCCCCGCAGCGCCUACACCACCGAGUCGGCCCGCUUCUUCAGCCUGGCCGUCUCUUUUGCCUCGCGGGUCCGCAGCUUGUUGCAUUUGCCCCGAGGCUCCUGGACCUGCAGCUUGUGCUCGCGGCAUUCCUCCUUCAGCUUGUUGACCUCAGACGCCUUCUCUGUGCUGUCCUCGUCAAUAAGCCAAAUUUCUUGCCGCGCCAUGUUGAGCUCCCCUUGAAGAGACGAGUUCGCCUCCUGGGCGGCCUUGAGCUGCCCCGCCAGCUCGCGCUGCCGGGCGCGGGACUGCUCCUGCAACUCCUUCUCCCGGCGCGCCGAAGCUUUGGCUGCCGUCGUAGCCCCUAUCUCCAGCUCUCCGACCUCUCGGCGGAGGCCACCUGGUGCUCUUCCUUGUCCUUGGCGUGCGUGGCCUUCAGCAGCUCGAGCUCCCACUGGUGCUCUUGCUGUUGAUCCCACAGCUGGCAAAGCACUUCAGCCUCCGGGACCCCUUGCAUGGUGGGCGCAGCCUUCGCCUGCUGCGCCUGCUGGAGCUCCUCCCGAUGCCGUUCAGCUCCGAGUGCUGCUCCUCUGCCUCCUUCCGUGCGGUGCCCAGCUAUGCCACCACGCGAGAAUGGUGCUGUUGUGCGUCGUUGAAGAAAUCGACGAACAUCCGCUAUUGCUGGUGGAUGUUGUCGAUCACUUGGUGCCCUUGCUGGAACACGCUGGGGUCGAAUCCUUCGACCCCACGAUCGCCCGUCGAGCGCCCCUGCACCCAGGCUGAAGGCGGCUCCAGCGGAGGUGGAGGCCCCCGCUGCAACCCGGAGGCCGCGUCCGGACUCGACGACGCGCCCCUGUUCGAUCCAAGUCCUGCGGCGCCCUGCCCGCUUGAAGGAGUUGCCUAGGGGCUCGGGGUCUUCUCCAGGGAGCCGCUGCCUAUCUUCAUAGGCAGAGGCUGGCACGCGUGCUCCGUUGCUGGUUGUGCCGUUUGCGCGGGGCCUCCCGCAGUGCUCCUUAUUGCCCCGGGGCUUGCUGAGGGGCCCCACCAGGAACGGUGUCCCCUGGGGCGUCAUCGGCCUCGCCGGUGAGGUCGAUCACCCGCACCUCUGUUGUUGCGGGUGCAGAUGGAGCAUCCCCGCCGACUGCAUGAGAACAUCGGCGUCAGCUUGGGAAAAUAACACAAUUUAAAUGAAAAGGCAUCAUAUAGAGCAGCGCAGUACCUUGAAGCGUCCCGUCUCCGGCUAGGUGCGCGGCUCCGUUGCCCGCAUCACCGCCGGUUGCCGGGAUGCACCCGCCGGCUGCCACAACCCCUGCAAGCGACUUGGAAUCAGAAAGCAACUUUGGGAUUAGUUAAAACAAGGGGUACCUGGUUUCGGGGGUACCUGCUCCUGGGCCGGUGCCCUGCUGACUUGCGUCGGCUAUUUCCGUAUCCCUAGCGAGAGAUGCCGCCGUUGUACCCGCUGCAUCAGUGGCAUCUUUGUCACCACCACCCGCUGCCGGGCGUGGUUUUUUGGCUUGGGCCGCCGUCGAAGUGCUAGGCUGCCCCCUCUUCUUUGAAGAUCCUUGGAAACACAUAAGUAAAUUAACGAAACAUAUGGAACUCAAGGGAACAGAAAAAUGGUUAAAAUGACAGUAAACUUACCUCAGCAGGUUGAGCCUGAGCACCCUGUCCGCCAAGAUAAUUGUAACAUCCCAAUAUUUGUAAUUUGGAUGUUAUCACCUUUUUCAUGUCACAUGCAUAUCAUUCUGACCAUAUUUGAGUUUGGAGAUGAUCUUACAAUUUAAUUGGGAGUUUAUUUGAACCUUAAGAGUGAUUAUAUGCAUUUGUUGGAAUUUAUUUGAGCUGCAUAUGCAUUAAAAAUACUUUUAUAAAUUAUAUUCCAUGAGGAAACUAUUUUUCCUAGCUUCCAAACAGGUAUUUGGAAUUUUAUGAAUUUUCUGGAAUCUUUCCGAUGCCGUUUGGUAUUUUAUUUGCCUUAUUUGAUUUUCUGGCGAUUUAGAGACCCAAAAAAAGCUAUUUCUUUAUUUGUUUUCCUUUUAUUCCGCGGAGUACGUUUUCUCUACAUGGAGGCGUAUUUCCGUGAAACCCGUUUUCACUUAAGUGUACCAAAGGGGUAUCUUUUAAUCUCAUCCAUCAAUUUCCCAUCCAAGGGCCAUCCUUCCUUUUUCCUUUUCCUUUUCUUUUUUUUUCUUUUCUCCUUUCUUCCUUCUUCUUCCUCACGCAAGCACAGGCAUAGCCUGUUCUGGCUGCGUCCAUGGCCAAGCCCAUCCCGGCCGCCGCUGCUGCUCGCCGGCCCCGCCCCGCCGCCCUGGCUCCGCCGCUCGCCGCCGCAGCCCCGCCGCCCGCCCGCGCUACCCCUGCACCGGCCGAGCCCGAGCUCGAGCUCGCGUCGCCGGCGUCCAUGGCCGUCCACCUCGAACACCACCCUCCGAACCGUUUUUCUUCGCGAUUUCUUCGCUAAUUCGUGACCCACAUGGCAAGGAAUCUAUCCCAACAAGAUUGAAACCCUCCCGGACUCUAACUCGUCCGAAUUUUAAGCGAAACCGAAUCCCGUUCAAAUCUCACCCGCCGGCCUUAUCCCGAGCGCCCCGAGCCCUAUAAAUACCCAAACCUGACGCCCUCAAGAGCCCCGACCAAUCUCUCAAAACCUAGCUAGAAGCCGCAGUCAAUCUUGCCACCAAUUUCAAGUUUCGUCCCCGUUUCCACGCAAACUCCGGCAAGUAAUUCCUACCACCUCGCCCCAAAUUAGCCCGAGCCACCACAACCUUUAAGUGCUCAGAAUUGAGUCGUAUGUGUUUGGAAAAAUGUUUUCGAAACAAAACCUCAAAAUGUUUUCAACUGGGCGGAGUGGUAUGUUUGAGACCAUUAUUGGUUGUCGACAAGGGCAACAUCCAAUUCGGCUCUGUAGAUGCUCAGGAUUUUCGGUGGGAACCGCCGUCCAGAAUCUAAAAGUUCAAUUCUUUUCCAAAGGAACCCAAAAGCUUACCUGUACAACCACCUGCUAUUAUGGCUCUGGCUUAGUCAAGUAACUAGCGGGAAACCCUUACUUGGGUAUCGUCAUCCGGAGAGGGGCCAAUGUGCUCAUAUGGGGCGAGCGGUGCCAGUAUUAAGUAUAGGGGGCUUCUAGUGAAAGACUUCGUCACAAUCUUUACCUGUUGCGCAUGCUUGUCGUUAGGCAACACUUCGGACUGAUGGUGUCUGGUGGGUAAAGUGUACAAACCUUUGCAGAGUGUCAAUCUAAUCGAUUAGCCAUGCCCUUGGUUGCGGGCGAUCUUUGAGCUACUAAGUCUGGUUAAGAGGAGAUCUUCUAGUUUUGUUUUGACUCGAUGGAAGCAUCCACAGAAUGAGUAUCUACUCGAUGGAUCCCACAGAAUGGGUCAGGGAAAUCAAGGGUUGCUAUGUGAGUGUCAGUUUGACCCAGAAUACAUAGUUAGGUCGUGGAGAUUUCACAGAAAGACCAUAUCUACUUUUCAAAACUAUUUUCUAUGAAAUUCUAGAUUUAGAGUUUUGCAAAGAAAAGCUAUUAUGAGUAUGUCAAAAUGAAACUUGCUGUUUUGGCAAAAGAACCAUAGAAGCCACUUAGGAACUAUCCAAUAAGCAUGUACUUGCAUUUCUCCUAACCUCACAGGUAUUUAUUUGUGAGUGCAUUCAAUGUACUUAUCUGCACCUAUCAUGUGCAGAGAGUUAUAAUUAAAGGAAGGAGGUACGCACGGUCGCGAGUCUACAUUCAACUUGCCUGUGGCGUGGAUGGAAGCUCAUUUAUCUUCAUUUGAUAUUUUUUAGACUUUCGUUGUGUAAUAAUACUCUGGAUUGUUAUCUUUUAUGCGUUAUAAUAAAGACAUGUAUUGUGAUACUUCAUCAUGAACUGUGGGUACUAUCAUGGAUCCAGGGACUAGUACUAUAAACAUAGUGAUUCCAGGUCUUUAAUGGUCUGGGUCACCACAGAUGGUAUCAGAGCUCAUGUUGCCUAUAGGACGUGACCCUAGUAGUGGAAAAGCCAUAGGGACUUAUUUUAAGUAAAUCAAGAAGAAUAUAUACCUAUAUACUUAUACUCCUAUUCUUGUCUAUCUAACAUGGAUUCUGAUCGACUUUUCCCCUCUUUGUUAAAAAUUGUGUAGAUGGCUGCCAACGGAGAGUUUCACCAGGCUGGACAGGACGACCUUCCCUUUGAGGCGCAGUUGCAUGACGUGACCACAUACCUGCGCAUGCCUGCACCAGAGUUUCGUGCUUACCGUCGCGCGGACCGUCCAGGACACGUCGACGCCGCCGCCAAGAUCCGUGGACGCCAGGUUCACCCCGUCACCAGGGACGUCACCUUCACUGUGGGAGCGGACACUUGGGAGGCUGGCCUGAUAAAGGCCAUGCAGGAGACUCUUGCCCGGAUCUGCGGCGAGUACGCCUCUGAGCUCGUCUUCACCGCCUACGAGGACUUCGGCAAGAAGACCCGAUACGGGAGUCUGUUUCCUCGUACCGGCGGCCUCACCCCCAGCGCCCAGCAGUACGCCGACCUCGAGCGCUACCUCGAUAGCGUCCAGGCUCAGCAGGAGGUCACCAGGAGCAUCUCGGAUGCGCAUCCUCACGCCCGGGAUGAGCUGAACCAGUAGUUAGCCCUGGCUGAUGUUCAGAUCACCGCUCUCAAGCGGGAGCACGAUCUGCUACGAUCUGCUAAAGGCCAAGGACGUGGAGUCUCAGCAGAAGGUGCAGGCACGGGAGGCCCUGAACAACGACGCGAAGGACGAGCUGGGACAGUUGCAGGAGACAGCCUACAUCCUGCAGGAGGAGUUAGAUGAGGUGGUGUAGAAGGCUCAGCGCAAGAACACCAAGAUACAGGAACUGAAGAACCGUGUGGACCUACUUCAGACCAUAGUUGUCGAGCUGGAGGAUGCACUUGAGGAGGCCCGUGACAACGGGGAGGGACGUUCAGGAUGAGGACGAGGCAUUCCUCAGUAAUGACGAGGACUACGAGGAGCAGAUGCAGAUCAGGGUUGAGGAGUUCGACUACGAGAUGGCCGACUCCGGAAACGAGGACGAACCGAUGGAGGAGGAGGAGGACCCCGAGGAGGUUAUCUUCGAGUCCGACGUUGAGACCAACCGUGAUGAGUAGAUGCUACCUUAUUAGAACCCUUUUCGCUUAGUUUUUCCUUAGUUCUUGGUUUAAACAGUACUGACCGAUCAAACUUUGUGGUUGGUAGACUUAGGAUUUUUCGUGAAACUAUUCAUUCGAGUUUGAUUGAGUUUAAUAAAGUCAAGUUUAUUUAAGUCAAUUUAUUUGACUUCUUCAUGCUGCAAGCAUCUAUGGGUAGUUAUGUUCUUAUAGACCCUGCUUUCUCGGCUCUUAUCUUUUCUAGCAAGAUGUCAACGCGCAACACUAGGAGCAACACCGGCAACAACAACACUGGCAACACCAACCCCAACCCCAACACCAACGCUGGCAACAACAACAAUGGAGUACCCGGACUUGCUGAAUUUUUGCAAGCUCAGACUCAGCUAGUGAACCUGCUCACUCAGAACCUGAACCAGAACAACCGCAACAACCCGCCACCUCCACCACCACCCUCCGACCGUUUGACUAGGUUUUUGAGGUUUCACCCACCUACUUUCUCUAGCUCAGCUGAACCCAUUGAAGCAGAUGAUUGGCUUCGCACCAUCCAAAAGAAGCUACUCACCAUCGAGUGCACUGAUCAGGAGAGAGUGCUAUAUGCAAGCCAUCAGCUUGAAGGAGCCGCAGCAGCUUGGUAGGAUACAUUCAAGUUCAGAUUUGGAGGGGAUGAGAUCACAUGGGAUGAUUUUGUUGAAGGUUUCCGCAAAGCUCACGUUCCAGCAGGGAGUAUGGGAUUGAUGGGGAAGGAGUUCCGUGCAUUGCGUCAAGGAUCCAAGACUGUGCAGGAGUAGUUAGAGAGGUUCACUCAGUUAGCUCGCUGUGCCCCUGACGAUGUACCCGAUGAUGAGGAUAAACAGGAGCUAUUCUUGGAUGGUCUGAAUGACGAGCUCAGUGUGCAAUUAGUUUCAUCUGAUUUUCACAGUUUUCUGAAUUUGAUUGACAAGGCAAUCCGCUUAGAAGGCAAGCAGAAGCAAGUGGAGAACCGCAAGAGGAAGGCAAGUAACAAGUUUGGUAUGGGAUUUCACAGCAAGCACCGUACCCAUUCACCUCCAAGGCACCGUCACUUUGGUUCUUCAUCAGGACGAUCCCAUGAGGAGAAACGCCACCACCAGCACAAGGAUCAGGGCCAGCUCCACCAUCAUGGGAGUCAGCAUCGUGGAAGCAACCAUGGAGGUAAUGGCAGCAGCAACAACAGUGGACACCGUCAGCACCGUAGUGGAUCAGCCUCAGAGAAGAAGGACUUGAGUCAAGUGGAAUGCUAUCAUUGCCACAAAUUGGGACACUACUCAACACAGUGUCCGGAGAAGCAGCAAAGCAACAAGAACCAAGGAGACAAGAGGCCUAGCCCCUUUGUGAAGGCCAAGCUGAACCAUGUUUCUGCAGAAGAGGCUUAUGAAGCACCGGACGUCGUAGUUGGUACGUUCCUUAUCAACUCCAACCCAGCAGUUAUAUUAUUUGAUACUGGAGCAUCGCAUUCUUUCAUUUCAAAAGCAUGGGUGCAAAAGCAUGGGGUAGCCACUAAAGCACUUAGAACACCGUUGUUAGUGACAUCCCCUGGGAAAGAAUUCCGAGCAGACCAUUUUUGUCAUGGAGUGUUGAUAAGGCUUGGCAGCGAGACUUUUCCCUCAAACCUUAUCGUACUAGAGUCCCAAGGUUUAGAUGUAAUCCUAGGGAUGGACUGGCUAUCUAGACACAAAGGACACAUAGAUUGUGCUAACCUAGCAGCUACUGUGACCAGCCCGGAAGGAAAGAGAAUCAGAUUUACAUCCAAAGUCAAGCGAAGAAGAGCCAUGGUUAAUGCACUUAAGGGAAGUAGUCUCGAGGAAGUUCCCAUUGUUAAUGAAUACAUGGAUGUGUUUCCAGAGGAUUUACCAGGAAUGCCACCUGAUAGGGAUAUUGAGUUUUUAAUUGAUCUAGUUCCAAGAACUGCCCCAAUAUCCAAAAGACCCUAUAGGAUGCCCGCAAAUGAAUUAGCAGAACUUAAGAAACAGUUGCAAGAAUUGCAAGCAAAGGGGUACAUCAGACCGAGCUCAUCACCUUGGGGAGCACCGGUACUGUUUGUACAGAAGAAGGACAAGAGUAUGAGGAUGUGUGUUGACUAUCGUUCUCUUAACGAGGUCACCAUCAAAAACAAAUACCCUUUACCCAUGAUCAAUGACUUGUUUGAUCAGUUGGAAGGAGCUAGUGUGUUUUCCAAGAUAUAUCUGCGAUCAGGCUAUCAUCAGCUGAAGAUUCGAACCCAAGACAUACCCAAGACGGCAUUCUCUACAAGAUAUGGACUAUAUGAGUACACAGUUACGUCAUUUGGUUUAACCAAUGCCCCAGCCUAUUUUAUGAACAUGAUGAACAAGGUGUUCAUGGAGUUCUUAGAUAAGUUUGUCGUAGUCUUCAUUGAUGACAUUCUUAUUUAUUCCAAGUCUGCUAGUGAGCACGAAGUACACCUUCGGAAGGUAUUGGAUAAGCUUAGAGAGCACCAGCUUUAUGCCAAGUUUAGUAAGUGUGAGUUUUGGCUUAGUGAAGUUGCUUUCCUUGGACACAUUGUGUCAGGAAAAGGACUGGUCGUAGACCCCUCAAAGGUAGAAGCUGUCACUGAAUGGAAGUCACCAAAGUCAGUUCCGGAAGUUAGAAAAGUUUCUUAGGACUUGCGGGAUAUUACUGUAGGUUCAUUGAGAAUUUCUCGAAGAUAGCCAGACCGUUGACCUAGUUAUUGAAGAAAGAAAAGAGGUACGAUUGGACACCUGAGUGUGAAGCAGCAUUUCAGGAAUUGAAGAAGAAGCUAGUUUCAGCACCAGUUUUGAUCCUACCAGUCUAUUGUGAUGCGUCACGCCAAGGUUUAGGAUGUGUUUUGAUGCAGGAAGGAAAGGUAGUUGCAUAUGCGUCGCGUCAACUUCGGCCACAUGAGAUGAAUUACCCCACUCAUGAUUUGGAGCUAGCAGCCGUAGUUCACUCACUUAAGAUAUGGAGACAUUACCUUAUGGGUAACCUCUGUGAUAUUUACACGGACCAUAAGAGUUUGAAGUAUAUAUUCACACAGAAUGAGCUGAAUCUUAGACAAAGAAGAUGGUUGGAACUUAUCAAGAAUUAUGACUUGCUCAUUCAGUAUCACCCAGGCAAAGCUAACAUAGUAGCCGAUGCCCUUAGUCGUAAGAGCCACUGCAAUUUCAUAACGGCAACAAUGAUGCCUACAAAGUUAUGUGACCAGUUUAGGAACCUAAGUUUGGAGGUUGUGCCAAAAGGAUUCCUAGCCACUUUGGAAGUAAAGCCUACUCUUUUGGACAAAAUUAGGGAAGCCCAAAAGAAAGAUGAGAAUUUUGAAAAGAUCAAGCAGAGUAUGAGAAGGAAAAUCUUUAGCGUUCUCCGAGGAUGAGCAUGGAACCAUUUGGUUUGAGGAGGGAAUUUGUGUGCCCCAAGACCCAGAAAUAAAGAAGGUGAUCCUUCAAGAAGGUCAUGACUCACCAUAUUCCAUACACCCAGGAAGCACUAAGAUGUAUCUCGACCUGAAGGAGAAAUUUUGGUGCCCAAGUAUGAAGAGAGAAAUUGCAGAAUAUAUCUCAUUAUGUGAUGUGUGUCAGAGAGUCAAGGCAGAACAUCAGAAACCCGCAGGAUUGUUGCAACCCCUUCCUAUACCGGAGUGGAAGUGGGAUGGAAUUGGUAUGGAUUUUAUCACUGGACUACCUAGAACCCGUUCAAGCUUUGAUUCUAUUUGGGUAGUAGUUGAUCGACUCACUAAAGUCGCCCAUUUCAUCCCCGUCAAGACAACAUAUACAAGUGCCCAGCUAGCCAAGUUGUACAUGACCAGGAUCGUGUGUUUGCAUGGAGUGCCAAAAGAGAUUGCAUCGGAUCGUGGAACCCAAUUCACAUCCAAGUUUUGGGGCCAGCUACAUGAAGCCUUAGGUACUCGAUUGGAGUUUAGUACCGCAUUUCACCCACAAACCGAUGGACAGACUGAGAGGGUGAAUCAGAUAUUAGAAGACAUGUUGAGAGCAUGUGCUUUGGAUUAUGGAUCCAGUUGGGAUGACAACUUACCUUAUGCAGAGUUUUCUUAUAACAAUAGUUUCCAGGCUAGCCUAAAAUUUCCCCGUUUGAAGCUUUGUAUGGGAGGAAAUGUAGGACACCACCUAUGUGGGAUGAAGUUGGAGAACGUCAGUUGUUUGGACCGGACUUAAUCAAGGAUGCCGAAGAAAAGGUUAAGUUAAUUAAGGAUAGACUGAAGGUAGCUCAGUCCCGACAGAAGAGUUAUGCAGAUUCUAAGCGUAAGGAAGUUACGUAUGAACCAGGUGACCGAGCUUACCUCAGAGUUUCGCCACUUAGAGGCGUAAAGAGAUUUGGAAUUAAGGGAAAACUAGCACCUCGCUAUGUGGGACCCUAUAAAAUUCUAGAGCGCCGAGGAGAGGUAGCUUACCAGCUAGAAUUACCAGAAGCUUUGUCCAGCGUGCACAAUGUUUUCCAUGUGUCCCAAUUGAAGAAGUGUUAUGCAGAGGAAUCCAAGUUACCACUUAGAGACACUGUACCAAUAGAAGCAAUUCAGUUGAACGAGGACCUCACCUAUGAGGAACACCCAGUAAAGAUUCUUGAGACGACUGAACGGAUUACUCGAAUGAAGACCAUUCGAUUUUGCAAGGUUCAGUGGAGUCACCAUACAGAGGAAGAGUCCACUUGGGAACGAGAGGAGAACUUGAAGAAGGAUUACCCUCACCUAUUUGCUAGCCAACCCGAAUCUCGAGGACGAGAUUCAUCUUAAGGGGGGUAGGUUUGUAACGUCCCAAUUUUUCUAAUUUGGAUAUUAUCACCUUUUUCAUGUCACAUGCAUAUCAUUUAGACCAUAUUUGAGUUUGGAGAUAAUCUUACAAUUUAAUUGGGAGUUUAUUUGAACCUUAAGAGUGAUUAUAUGCAUUUGUUAGAAUUUAUUUGAGCUGCAUAUGCAUUAAAAAUACUUUUAUAAAUUAUAUUCCAUGAGGAAACUAUUUUUCCAAGCUUCCAAACAGGUAUUUGGAAUCUCAGGAAUUUUCUGGAAUUUUUCCGAUGCCGUUUGGUAUUUUAUUUGCCUUAUUUGAUUUUCUAUCGAUUUAGAGACCACAAAAAAGCUAUUUCUUUAUUUGUUUUUCUUUUAUUCCGCGGAGUACGUUUUCUCUACAUGCACGCAUAUUUCCGUGAAACCCAUUUUCACUUAAGUGUACCGAAGGGGUAUCUUUUAAUCUCAUCCAUCCAUUUCCCAUCCAACGGCCAUCCUUCCUUUUUCCUUUUCCUUUUCUUUUUUUUUCUUUUCUCCUUUCUUCCUUCUUCUUCCUCACGCAAGCACAGGCACAGCCUGUUCUGGCUGCGUCCAUGGCCAAGCUCAGCCCGGCCGCCGCUGCUGCUCGCUGACCCUGGCUCCCCUGCUCGCCGCCGCAGCCCCGCCGCCCGCCCGCGCUGCCCCUGCCACGGCUGAGCCCGAGCUCGAGCUCGAGUCGCCGGCGUCCAUGGCCGUCCACCUCGAACACCACCCUCCGAACCGCUUUUCUCCACGAUUUCUUCGCUAAUUCGUGACCCACACGGCAAGGAAUCUAUCCCAACAAGAUUGAAACCCUCUCGGACUCUGUCUCGUCCGAAUUUUAAGCGAAACCGAAUCCCGUUCAAAUCUCACCCGCCGCCGGCCUUAUCCCGAGCGCCCCGAGCCCUAUAAAUACCCAAACCUGACGCCCUCAAGAGCCCCGACCAAUCCCUCGAAACCUAGCUGGAAGCCGCAGUCAAUCUUGCCACCAAUUUCAAGUUUCGUCGCCGUUUCCACGCAAACUCCGGCAAGUAAUUCCUACCACCUCGCCCCAAAUUAGCCCGAGCCACCACCACCUUUAGAUCCCUAUCGAUGCCUAGAACACCAUACACCACAGCCUUGCCGCCGGACACCUCUGUUUCGCCGAGUCCCAUCAACUCCGGCGAACUUCAUCUUCUCCGGUGAGCUUUCUUGCUCUGUUUUCGAGCUGCAGUCUGUUUUGAUUAGCCUACUUCUAUACUCCGUAUCUUUUGUUCCGUAGAUCCUAUUUAGGAAAUUCUUUUUGCAUCUGGUAGCUUACAUCUUUCUCUAUAAAUUAGACCUCAUUAGAAGCCUCGUCUCUAUCAUCUUCAGCAGUGCAUCUUCGUUCCAAAUCGGUAUUCCCAGUAGUCUGUUUUAGAUUAGAUACCUUUCGACGUUCUUGUUGAGUAGAUUGUAGACCCGUUUAGGGGUUAAGCUUCUGUAGUUUGACGAGUAGGUCUUGUGUUACACCCUGUUAAUUUUGGGCACCUUUUGUAGAUUUAGAUAAUGAACUAAAAGUUUGUCAAAACUAGCUACCUGUACAACCACCUCUUAUUAUGGCUCUGGCUUAGUCAAGUAACUAGCGGGAAACCCUUACUUGGGUAUCGUCAUCCGGAGAGGGGCCAAUGUGCUCAUAUGGGGCGGGCGGUGCUAGAAUUAAGUAUAGGGGGCAUCUAGUUAAAGAUUUCGUCACAAUCUUUACCUGUUGCGCACGCUUGCCGUUAGGCAACACUUCGGACUGAUUGUGUCUGGUGGGUAAAGUGUACAAACCUCUGCAGAGUGUCAAUCUAAUCGAUUAGCCAUGCCCUUGGUUGCGGGCGAUCUUUGAGCUACUAAGUCUGGUUAAGAGGAGAUCUUCUAGUUUUGUUUUCAAAAACCAAAAACUGUUUUGACUCGAUGGAAGCAUCCACAGAAUGAGUAUCUACUCGAUGGAUCCCACAGAAUGGGUCAGCGAAAUCAAGGGUUGCUAUGUGAGUGUCAGUUUGACCCAGAAUACAUAGUUAGGUCGUGGAGAUUCCAUAGAAAGACCAUAUCUACUUUUCAAAACUAUUUUCUAUGAAAUUCUAGAUUUAGAGUUUUGCAAAGAAAAGCUAUUAUGAGUAUGUCAAAAUGAAACUUGCUGUUUUGGCAAAAGAACCAUAGAAGCCACUUAGGAACUAUCCAAUAAGCAUGUACUUGCAUUUCUCCUAACCUCACAGGUAUUUACUUGCGAGUACAUUCAAUGUACUUAUCUGCACCUAUCAUGUGCAGAGAGUGAUAAUUAAUGGAAGGAGGUACGCACGGUCGCGGGUCUACAUUCAACUUGCCCGUGGCGUGGAUGGAAGCUCAUUUAUCUUCAUUUCAUAUUUUUUAGACUUUCAUUAUGUAAUAAUACUCUGGAUUGUUAUCUUUUAUGCGUUGUAAUAAAGACAUGAAUUGUGAUAUUUCAUCGUGAACUGUGGGUACUAGCAUGGAUCCAGGGACUAGUACUAUAAACAUAGUGAUUCCAGGUCUUUAAUGGUCUGGGUCGCCACAAUACUCCUCGCUGGGGGUGCACUUCGUGCGGGCGGAACCAGCAGAGCUACCGGAGUGGCUAGGGUGGCCUCUGUGGUCACCCCGCUAUCGGCGGAAGCUACGGUCCCUGCAUCCGACUGAGGCGCCUGGGGCUGCGGGCUUGCCUCCCGCCCAGUCGCCCUCUGCGUGGCCCACCAUCUUACCAUGGGGACGUCGUCUUUGUCGUCGUCCUCCUCCUCCGGUGCACCCCCACCAGCUUCCUGGGGAGCCAGGUUCGGUUGUUUGGCCCGGUUUACGUCCAAGCCGGAUGUGAGCGCCACUGCAGGGGAGCCACACGCCUCCCGAUGAAGUGGCGUGCCAUGUCCGUGUCCGUGAGCCCGGCUUCACGGAGCGUCGUAAUCUCGGCGCGGAUCGGGGCUAGCUCCUUGUCCUUCGGGUUGCGGAAUGUCCAGUCCUUCGAGCCCUUCGGGGGCCCGAGGAGCUCCUCGUGGAAGUCCUGGAGCUCGUCGGUGCGCAUCCAGCACCAAUCGCGGCGCCAUUUGUUCUCUAUCUUCUUCUUCCCUAGCCGGAUGAACCCUAACUUGAGCUUGUCGCGGAAUCAGAACACUGUGGCCGAGGGCAGGGGAGCCUUCGCCUCUGUCCUGGGGUAGUAGUAGUAGCGGAAAAGUGUCAUCAACGGCAUCUCCCCCACGAACGCUUCACAAAGGUGUUAGAAUACAGCCAAUGUGAAAAAGAACGUGGGGUGAACCUGGGCCAGGAUAAGCCCGUAUGUCUCCAUGAUGGCGGAAAGAAAGAAGGAGUGCAGUGGACCCGGCGAGGACAAACCAUGCAAAUACCCGGAAGUACUGCGGGUCGCGGUCCGCGCCGACGGGUAGAGCCCGCGUCGGCCCGUACUCGUUUUGCUUGGCGGCUAGCACCAAGGCCAACUUCUCCACCCCCUCGCUGUUGUACCCGGGGGAGAAGAAGGCGAACUUGGCUCGCAUCUCCUCGUGCUUCCACGCUCUUUCCGACAGCUCCUUCUUGGAGGCCUUCUCGCUCUUCUCCCCUUUGCUGGUGCUACCCUUGGGUCGGCUUUAGUCCUUGGAAGACAUUGGCAGGGGUGGGGAGUGAGCUUGGCAACAGUUGGGGUGUGGUGAGCUCGGGUGGCAAUGGCAGAAGCGAGAAGCAGUGGAGGUACCAUGCCGCCACCGGCCUUGGGCAUUUAUUUGGGGCCGGCGGGUUGCAACGGACACCCCCACGAUGGGUAAUUAAGUGCCCUAAAGUUUCGAGGAAAUCAAGACAGGGUGCACGACGUGGCCUUAACUCUCGGUUAAUUAUGGGGAACGAGGCAGGGGAUCGUGCACCCGACCGAAACAGUCGGGUGAGUGGAACCAAAGAUGCGGCCGGCAAGGUCGGGUACCGUGACUUUCUCCUGGGACCCACGCGUCGGAUAGGGCGUAGCCCGGGAACCGACCGAGGACAACACUACCCGGGAACUCAAAGUUGCUGGACCACGCCCGAGGGCGGCUGUCGCACCAGGGGCCCACGGGGUCCCACUGAUACGGGAUGGGAUCCUGCUAGGACGGCUCCCCGGGAAGGGCAAACCUGGGAAGCACCACCCCCCCCCCCCCCCCCACGAGGGAGUAUCUAACAGGAUUGUGGGAAGACGCUUACUGGCAAGACCAUCGCAUGGGAGGUUAAAAGCUCCGACAUCAUCGACAAAGUCAAGGCCAAGAUCCAAGGUAGGAGAGACAUCCAGCCCAGCGGCUACCUGGGAAGCUAGGUCCCGGCAAGGUAGCUGUUCCAACGGCCUUGGCGCCAGUGCUGGGGUGCCCCUGCCAACUCGCGCCCAGGCCUACCAGUGGCGACAGUGGAACAAUGAAGACAGUGGAGACAAUGCAUUUAAUGCACCGACAGGUUUCACAUCGGCAGGGCUAGGAUUGCUCAAUAAGGCUAGAGCGGCUACCCUACGGUUCAUUUUAUUUACCACGUACAAUGGCCUGGGCGCUGCAUGAAGCCCAGCAUGGAUCAAAAGUAGAGUAAGUUUUGUGGUGAUGACACACGAAUAGCUAACGUCUCACGCUGCAUGCAUCGACAACUGUGGUAUCCCCUUGACUAUAAAAGAAGGACCAACGCCACCGGUCAAAGGGUUCGAUUCCAUUUAAAGCUUAGAAGAGUUUAGCUCAGCGUUUAUCCAAGUAGACAAAUCCUUACAGGGACAAGUAGCAAAGACCGGGAACCCCCCGGCAACAUGUACACACUCAAACUUGUGAAUACAACCAAAAGUAAGACGUAGGGUGUUACACCUCCGGGUGGCCCCGAACCUGGGUAAACUCGCGUGUGUCUACGCUUCGUGUCUUUCGUCACGCCGGCGAUCGCUGGAGUGAUCCCCUCGCCCUCCACCAAACCAAAAACGGGGUGUCCAACAUCCCCGGUGCCGGAGUUCCAUGCUCCGAUAGAACUGCUUAUGAUGUUAUUAUUACUGUUAUCCAUGUCCACAACAGUAAUCAUCUGUAUGCAACAAGGUUGGAUUGACAAUCUCACUUCGGUCUAGGUGAUCCUUAGUAGUGGGCAUUGAGUUUCACCAUGCAGGUGGAAUCUGCAAUGGGCUGCUAGUGUGAUCUGACUCGUAGUUGAAUCAAUAAAGUUGCAACUAAAAUACAUGGACUUGAGAAGGUACCGUUAUUUGGUUCUUCACCCCGUUUAAGUCAGUUAAGGACCAACAUGUGAGUAACGUUGAACGAAGCCACUGAGCAUACUACCUCAUGCUAUUGUUUGGGUGGUAGCCUGGCCUAGUAACUUGACUUACUUUAACAUGGGAGCCACAGUGUUUAGUUGAGGUGUUAUAUUGGAUUUGGAUCUUGAAAACUGAUUUGGCAUGCAAGCCUGAUUUGUUUGGAACUCGCCGACCCAGCCUGCGGUUUGGUUUGCCGCUCGGUUAAGGUAACCUAGGGUACGGAUGCUGCCUAGUGACCUAGGGGGCAGUAAUCCGGGUAGUGCUCGAAGGGGUGGCUACCCGUGUUAAGGUAGGGAUCAGGCGAAGCGUCUCGUCAUAGUUCCCUGGUAAACACUUUGCAGUGCGGCGAAUCUCGGCAGAGAUGGUGCCCUGGGAAACUACGUCAUGAGGGUAAAGUUGUACACCCCUGCAGGGUUAAAUCUAUUCGAAUAACCGUGACCACGGUUAUGGUCAAGCUUGGUGAAAUGACCCAUCAUACUAAUGGAAUGUGCUUGCGUCUAGAGUGUGCCAGCAUCUUGUCAACAUGGGUUGCAAGAGUGGCAUGUCGGUUAGGAAACUGAGUUGUGGAACUGUUGAGUUGAUGUCCUAUUGAGGACUUGUUAGGAUGACAUUCAGUCAGUCCUUAAUACUUGACUCUGAUACCUGAGGAGAUACAAUGAUGAUUACAAUGAUUAUUUUAUUGCACUUGGUAUAAUUGUUUAGCAAUCUCCUGAGUAGAUAUACCUGUCUAGAAAUACUUGUGUAGGUAUAUUUGUUUAGCAUUGCAUGUGUAGAAUAUUGUUUAUCUUGUGUUACCACGAAUAUUGUAGAUCACCUGGGAAAUGACCAUUGUAUUGUUAUAGGUUUACAAUAGAUGUACCUCUCAAAUGACAGUACACCUAUUUACUGUUGCGAUUCACCUUUCACCUUGGUCAUAAAUCCCUUGUAUUAACUAGUAAUGUUAACUAACUACUUUCACAUUAAAAUUGAGAGAGCAAGUCUUGCUGAGUACCUUUGUACUCAUCCUUGCUUAUUUUUGGUUCAGUUGCUUCUGAUUCUAUUCCUGAAGUUGAGUACUACGAAGACGACGUUCAGUAGAUGUUUUACCCACGUCGGCUAUAAGCCCUAUGGAGUGAGACUGGUGUUCACUUUAGCCAUCUUAUGGCAAGUUGUAUCUUCCCUAUUUUCCUCUGUACUUUAUUCUGUAAACCUUUUGGUAUUGUAAUAACUUCAGUCAUGCUACCUUAAACUUGGUAUUGUAUGUAUUAUGGUUUGUGAAAUGAUUGCCUUGCUGGAUAUGUAUGCAUACUUGCUUAUCGUGGGAAAGUAUGAUGAGCAUAUCCGGGUCCAGGAGUACUUAUUCUAUAUUAUUCUGAGAUUGCUUGUGCUAUUGCCUUUAGGUCCACAGUUGUACAAUCUAGGUUAGUAUAAUCUAGCAUACAGUAAUCCCGUUCCGUUACACAUCCUCAACGCGCGUCGCGGCGAGGAUAUGCGCUCGCGCUUCGAGCGCCAUCGCCCACGGGAGUUUGCCCAGAACAACCCCCAGGAGCAGGGAGAAGAUCCUCACGGCAUCGAUGAUGGUUGUGCCGCGUUCACCAAGAGCUGCAGCGGGUAGCGUGGCCCCGCAAGUUCCAAGCGCCUCGCUCGGGAUGUACGAUGGGACUAACAAUCCAAAGAUUUCCUAUUGACUUGCUCUUUGGGCAUGCGCGCGGUUGGCACCGACGAGAAAGUCAUCGCCAACUGGUUCCUGAUGGUGCUUAGGCAAGCGAGGACCUGGCUGAUGAACUUGCCUCUUGGGUCCACUGCCUCUUGGGCGGACUUCCGGGAGCAGUUCACGAAUGCGUUCUAGGGCGGCUAUAAGCACCCGGGAACAAUACCUGAGCUGGACGCUAUCGUGCAGUAGCCCGUGGAGACGUUGAGGAGCUUCACACCAUCCCGGAGGUGGAGGCUGCGGCCAUUAUCAACACCUUCGCCAUCAACGUCCAUGACGCCAAGAUGCGUGAGAAGCUUAACGCGCACAUUGUUCGGACAACUCAUGAGCUCUACGCGCUUGGGCACAAGUGCGCAAUGGCUGAAGAAUAGCAGCCAAGGCGGCAGCCACUUCCCCGGAAGCAACCCAAAAGAAGGGUUCUCGGAAGCGCGGCAGGAAGCAGGUGCUUGCCACGGAGCCGGGGGCUCCGACGAGGCCAACGAAGAAGUCCUCAGCAGCGGGCGCAUCCACGAGUAAGCCGGAAAAUGGCCUCGAGGUGCCCCAUCCAUGCCAACGCGACCCACGAUGCGCAGGACUACGGCGUCCUGCAUAACAUCGCGGAGAAACGCGAGCAGAGUCAUGAGAAGCGCCAUGCUGCUAGCGCCUGCUUCAACUGCGGUGACACAGAGUAUCUCUCACGGGAGUGCCCAGACAAUCCCCGCAACGGAGCCGGGCACGGCGGCAGAAACAGCGACAAAGAAGAGGCCGUGAUGGCCGAUAUCAGCCUCCUCGGGGACGCGAUAAUACCUCCACUGAGGAGCUGCACGACGAAGACGGCAGCGAUGACGGAAGCCCAGCUUCUAGGAACCCCGUGGCAUUGCUGCAUCCACGGGGGAGCAUAUGCUCUCACCUCCCACAGCGUGGUGAACCGGCUCACCCGUGAGGUUUGCGUCAUGCUGCAGAGCACGGAGGCGCAGCAACCAAUGAAGUGGUCGCAUGUGCCGAUCACAUUCGACUCCGGCGUCCACCCCGGCAUGCAAUCAACUUAUCCCCAAGUAAAAAACAUACGACCAAAACAAUGUGGCCAUAUCUCAUGCGACUGUUUUUUACGUAAGAACUUUAAAUCUCUGUCAUUCGAUUAACAUCCAACAGACAAGAACGUCUACUUAUCUCUAUGGCGACUGCUCAGCAAAACUCAUUAGAAAAAAUGAAUAGUUAUAUCUAUUUCAUAUUAUGAUUACAUGACUCAUGCUGACUUCAUUCUAUUAAUUUAAUUUUAUUAUAAUUAUUACUUAUUACAAUAAUAUUUGCAUGCAGUGAGAUACGAAUUUAAAAAUCGCACAUGAGUUUGUCAAUCCGUCACGUAUGCCACAGCUCGCUCCACAAUCUCGUCUGUAUCCUCGCAAGAAAUAAACAGAAGGAAAGUCCUCAAGAACGUCGCCCGAUUCCGCUCUGCCAAUCACCACCGCCACCCCCCUUCUCUGUUCGCUCGCACGGAGAGGCGCCACCACCUCCAUUGGCCUUCCCCACUUCUGCCUCCUCCACCGUUGUUUCCCAACCCACCGCCGCCGUCCGACCCCUCCCUCCCUCCCUUCGCCCCCUUUCCCCCCUUUCCCACGAAAACAGAGAGGCACGGGAGACACAAAGCGAUGCCCUAGACGGAUAGCCUACGACGGGCACGGCAGAAGGAGGGAAGCGAGGGCGUUGAGGCCGGUUUCGUGGGCAGCAAAAAGGGAAUUGCUCUGGUCUCUCCUCCACCUUUGUGUCACGCAUCGUAGAUGUUCGUUGUAUUGCCUGCAUGAUUCCACUGGAAGGUGAGGUAAUCACUGGAUUAGAUUAGUUUCUUACUUAACUGGAAUGAUUCUGGACCUAGGUUUUGGUUCAGAUUCCUCACUGUCACAAUGCACAUAAAAGGAAUGUCUUGUUAUGUCAUAAACCACGUCAUUCUUUUCUAUGUUUGCAUCAAGAGACAAGAUGCAUCUUAUCUCUCCGUUGCAACGCACGGACACUUAGCUAAUGCUAUUUCAGUGAGGGGACUCUAGGUGUAAGUUUGUCUCACCAUCUCAGAUUCCUCUUGACACAGUAAGUGUUGAAGUCAUACUUAGCUGUUUCUUGUUCAAAAAGAUGGUACAGCACGAUUAACAAAAAAAAAGACUACAUACAGGAAUUAGAAACACAACUGGCAUGUAUCACAACUUUACGGGUUCCUUUCUCUUUUGAACUAUACAUGUAAAUGACCCUUCACAUAAAGUGUACAUUGAUCAACAAUUCCUUCUUCAUAUAUGCUACACUACAUCGGCUAGCACCUUCGAAUUAGCACACAAAUGGAUGGUACCUUGUCCAACAAUAUGAUAGCUCUAAUGGGAUGAACAAUCAUAAAGAGCUCAAUGUGAAAAAAAGAUAUACAAGAACCAUGAUUAUGCAUCAACUAGUUCACCGCAGUCGGGUCUUUUCUACAACUCGUUCAUCAAAGCUAUGAAAGCAUCAAGGACCUACAGUUUGUACUUGCCUAUAAUCAUCAUGCAUGUAUAUGAUUCAAGGCUUUGUUGAAACGCUCACAACAUGUGCAUCAUCCACAGCUUGAAUUUGCGUACAUAUAGAUAUAUGACGCAAGGUCCGAUCAUAUCUGUUUCAGACAGCCGCUUGCAGAGUUUCAUGUACGAUUCUAGGUUGCCGGAUUGCUGUAUGUUUCUCUGCAGUGCGGUCAGUACGGCAGCUCUGUCCAGGUACUCAGGACAUAAGCCCAAAUCAAGCAUCCGCAUUAAUGUUUCUGAGGCAUCCAGAUAGAAACCACCUUUGACAUAACCUCGCAGUAGCCAUGACAUCGACUUCUUCCUUCUUCCUGCACUGGUUGACUCGAUACCUGCAAGCAAUCGUCGAACAGCAGCACCUUCUCCUUGAGAAGCACAAAUGGCCAAAACAACAUCAUAGAGCUGCGUAUCAGGUGGCCUACCAACAAGCUUCAUUUCCCAAAGUUCUCGCUCAGCUUCUAAGCCACAACCAGCGCAAGUGUACAUUGAAAGGAGCCUCUCAUGCACAAGUCCUAGAACCUCACUGCUGCCUUCCUGAACAGCCCAUUUUGAUAACAGAACACCAUCCCUUAAUAAUUCUGAUUGGUACUUCUCGAUACUGUGCAUGCUCUCCGUAUCUAGUUCGGAAACUGAGCCAUCCUUCACUGAGAAAUUCAAUUUACGUAAUGCCUUGGAGAAUUCCUUUUGCUCUUUUACCAAGGAAGUCAACCCAAUAAGAUAGCCAUAUACUUCAGGGUUCAGCCCACUCUCCUUGAACUCAAUUACCAAUUUAAAAGCAUCCCUGUAGUCCCCGUCCAUCUAUCAGAAGAAAACACAGAAAUUAAAAACUGAAAGCACAGUCGUCAGACAGAAAAAGCAUGAAAUGCUGUUUAUAAGCAGCUAGGAGUUUAUGUUGAGUGCACAGGUGUCCAGACAGAAGAAACUGAUGGCUGCUACAUUCGUAACAUGAUCAUUUUUAGUAGCAUCACUGCACCAAUCCAGUUUGAUUUGUACAUACCGAUACCACAGUACCAAGCUAUCCAAACCAAAGGUAUUGCUCUCUGAAGUACUAUAAACCCAUGAUACCAAGAUAAAAGCCAAAACAUAAUAUGCUAUAGGACGGUAACUAUGUACUACUACAGAAUCAAAAUGCUACAUUUGGCUCGUACUGUAUGCUAAAAAGAAGCCAACAGAUUCAAUGAUAAGGAUCACACAAAAAAAAAAUCAGUUGCCAAGUACAAGACAAUACAAGAUUAACCCCGGUGGAUGUUUUGGAGUGAAUAGCUGAGGUGGUUCACUUCAUAUCAUAACAAUACAUGAUUAUCCUAGGUGGAUGUUCCGGAGCAACUAACCCCGGUGGAUGUUUUGGAGUGAAUAGCUGAGGUGGUCCUCUUGAACUCACAUUACAAGCUUUCAAGCUUCGGGUAUACAUGUGUAUAUAUACACACACCCAACCUAACAGCCCACAUCAAUACUAGUACUACUCGGAGAUGGCCGGCAAACCCAAUCCGACUUCAGCUUGUACUAGCAAUGAGACUCACACCAAGGUAAUUCUUAUUCUAAUCGGACUAACUUGUGGCAGCUUUUGCCAUCUAACCCCGUCUGAUUACGAUUAGGACACAUGCAUCAACACGGAUGCAAACUCCAAAUUGAUUAGGCAAGAUUAAUCGAACAAACUGACAUCCGCAUUUUCUUUGUGAACAACUGUGUAAGACAAGACCAAAAGUUAAGACCGUGCACACUCGAUGCGGUGGAUAACAAGUGAUAUGUGUUCAACUGUGUAAAUGAGUUUGUAGGGACGGUCCUUGAACCAUGGGUCCAGGGGAAGUAUGAGCAAUAAACGGCUUCACAGCCAACAUCCUGUACUGCACAAGGCAUAGAUCCCUUUUGUCACAGUUCUCGUCUCCAUCUCUUAGAUCCCCCAUGGCUGUAAAUUCUUCACACAAUAAGAAAUGAGUUUCUAAACCCUGAUUUAUCCCGCAUGGCUGUAAAUUCUUCAUAGGUUGUCAUCAGAUGUUAUCAGGUUGCAAUUUGGGUCCCAUAUUGCUGAUUUAGUCAUCAACGGAACAGCAGUCGUCACACUCUAAUUCUAUAGCAGGCAGUUGCCACCCCAAACUUUAAUACUCGUUUGAUUGAUAACUAGAGGCGUCUAAUAUUUGGUCAUGACAGUAUUUGGAUUGAACUUCACAGUUACCAAAGUAUACCUAAAAGUGGCAACCAAUGUGGACCCACAUGUCAUUUGGAGGGUUGAUCAUAUUUGUGGGGCAAGCCAAAUUUCCAAAGAAAACCAUAUCAGCCAAAUUAUUGGGGCAUGAAUGCGUGACCAAAAUUUGGUAUGCUAAGCUACUAUGUUGGGAGAUACAUGAACCAAAUUUUGGUGGGACAAACAAAAAGGAGCAGGAGAAAUGAUUGAUCAUGUGCGUAGACAGUAGAAGAUGAACCACAUGCUGGUUACUAGAGCUAACAAUAUACAACUAAACAGAUUACAUUACAUGCAAGCAUGUGAUCAGCGUGGGGAUUAGGCCUUACUUUAUAGACAGAGACAUGCUUACAAAUAAAGAAUUGGCCCGACAAGGCAUCUUAAUAAGAUAAAAUAAGAAAAUGACACGAGAUGAAUAAACCUACAAGCAGAAUACAAUACCAUCAUCUUUAAAGUACUACGCAUGUGAUUCAUUAUUAAGAAGAACCUAUCCAACAUAGUUUACCAUCAAACGUAGAGCAAGUGAAUUAAAAGGAUCGAAAUAAGGAUAAAACCUGAUGACCCCAGUACAUAUCGUGUCAAACUCCAGGGCUAGAGAAACAUCUAGGUUGGUUUUCAGCAUGCAGUUCCAAUAAUCACGAAAUCACAAUAUAUUAAAAAAAAGAGAACUGUACAUGUGAACGUACAAUUUGUAACAUUACCCAGCAAAUGGAAGUUAAGAGGCAACAAUCAAUCUCACAAACGUUAGGAACAAGGCAUCCUAGCAAGGCAGCACAAAAAAAAGGGAAAAUUUGCAACGGGAGAUAAAGCCUAUUACCAUCAUUUUCCAGGCGAGGUAGCCAACUGGGCCUCCACGCUCGCCGUCGAAAUCCCCUCCGACGCCUACGUUCCCCCUCCUGAGUACGUCCCUGACGAACUCAACGGCGCGCGCCCUCUCGCUGCGGUCCCAGUAGAGAGCGACGGCCUUCUCGACGAGGCUAAACCCAGGGCGGAGACCGACGCAGUCCAUUUCCCCCAGAAGUGCGGAGACAUCAGCGACGUCGCCCCCCGCUCCCACGAGGCGCUCGAUCCAGCCACAGGCGAUGGCUGCCAUGAGCUCCAUGGUCUCGCCGUCGACUCGGUUGGCGCGGCGCAGCCAAUCGAAGACCUCGAGCGCGCAAUAGGCGUCGCGGCCCUCCUGCGCGAAGUAGACAAGCACAAGCUGGAGCUCCCGCGGGGAAAGCUCAGAGAGCGGGGCCCUGUCGUCCGCCGCGGCGGCGGGCUCCCGCUCGAGGUGCUCGAUGGCGGCAGCGAGGGGCCCGCCACCGCCGACUCCGAGCUCCGUAGCAUCGGCGGGGAUGACGUGGUCGAGCCGCAGGGAGCGCAGGGGGGACGGGGGCCGGAGGGAGACGGCGGCUGGGCGCGGGCGGGGAGAGGGGAGGGAGACUUGGGGGAAGGCAGCGGCGCGGGAGGAGAGAGCCAUGUGUGGUUAGGGUCGGGAUGGCAUGGGAGCGGGACUUGGGAAGAGGAGAGAAGGGGAAGGGGAGAUGUGGUCGAACCGAAGGGGGCCGGGGGAAUGGUGGGGGUGAUUAGGAACGAAGGUGUGGGCCAGUGGAUAGCUGAGAGAAUAUCUGGAUGCUAAAAAUUUCAACUCUAAAAUUGUUAUACAUCGGGAGGAAAAAAAAGACAAAUGCAAACAUUAAUACUGUCGCGCCAGUGAUCCACGGGCCACGGAGUCACACUGAUGCAGGACGCGUGGGUCGCAAUGACUGAGAUCCCGCCAGGCCAGCCUCCUCGGAAGGGCGAACCCAGGAAGCCCACCCUUGAGAUAAUAGUUAGCGGGAUUACGAGAAGACACUCAAGACCAUCACAUUAGAGAUUGAAAUCUCUGACACCAUUGACAAGAUCAAGAUCAAGAUCCAGAAUAGAAAAGAUACCCAUCGCAGUGGCUACCCGGGAAGCCUCAUCCCAACAAGGUAACAGCACGCUGCCCCCGCAAUGUCCUAGGCACCGGAACCGGCAUGCUUCCCGGCUACCCGUGCUCGGGCCUAUAAGUGGGGUCAAUAGAACAGUGAAGACAGCCAAGAUAGAGCAUUUAAUGCACCGACAGGAGUCACAUAGACAGGUCUAGUCUUGUUCAGCAAGGCUACAGCGGCUACCCUAUAACUCAUUUUAUUUACCAUGAAUAGUGGCCUGGGCACUGCAUGAAGCCCAGCGAGGACCAACAGUAGAAUAGGACUUGUGGCAUUGACACGCGUUUAGUUAACGUAUCGCAUUGCAUGCAUCAGCACCUGUGGUAUCCCCUUGACUAUAAAAGGAGGACCAAUGCCAUCGGUCAAAGAAUUCAGUAUUCACCCAAGUAGACGAGCCCUUAGAGGGACAAGUAGCUAAGCCCGGGAACUCCCUGGCAACUUGUAACACUCAUACUAGUUAAUAACUCAAAACUAGGACGUAGUGUAUUGCACCUCCGGGUGGCCCGAACCUGGGUAAAAACCUCGUGUCCACACUUCGUGUCUGUAGUCACGCCUGCGAUCGCCGAAGCGAUCCCCUUCGCCCUCCACCAAACCAAGAAAGGGUGUCCAACAUCCCCGGUUGAAGCGACCGACCCCGGGUAGGGUACAAUCUCUGUGCUUACAGUGCUAGUCCCUGGAUCGACUCGCCAGCACACACAGUUCAAGAUGUAAUAUAAAGAUACAAAGGUCAAAAAUAUAUUACAUCGUAUUGAUCCAGAAUUUAAUAGUACCUUACAUAUUGCAUAACCUCAUGGGUUAGCUCAAAAGAAAAUAAAAUCUUGUAGCGGAAGGCAGAAGAUACAUGAGUCCCAUAACAACUCCACAGUCGAAACAUGUUGGAAUGUAAACUCGCAAUCCUAACAAAUCGUACCUCACUUUUCACAUGUAAAGCCUGCAACAUUAAACGUUGCAGCCACUAUGGGGUCAAUACAUUGAAUAUAUUGGCAAGUUCACCAAAAGGUUAUAACAGACCUAACAAGUAUAUGUAGUAUUGGGCAAGGUGGAGUUCAAUCUUCUUGCGUAUUAAACUAUGGACAAUGAGUAGCCACAUCAAUGCUUCUAUCCCAAGUUUAAACCAUUCAUUUUAUUAAGAAAUUAGAAUGAGUGAGACCUUCCUUGCAGCUCCCAAAUCUAGUUGCUCAUAUUUGUCCGUAACCAAGGACACGGCUAAGUACUUAGUUUGACACUCUCGAGAGGUUGUACACUUUACCCACAAGAAACCGACGGGUUAAUCCCUUGCUGUCCUCAGGGUAGAGUAGCAACGGCGUCGAUUACGACAAUUUUCAGAAGUAAUCACCCAGACCCAUACCGAGGGACCCGCUCCCACCUACACGGCAACAUCGUCACGAUCACCUCGGGCCCAGGAUCAUACGACCUACUACAUCAAGCCAGAGCCCAUUUAGCAUGUGGUUGUACUGGAAGUUACUAAACAGGAAACUAGUCCAGUCUCUGGUUACCCCGGGUGGCAUUCCACAUUUGCGACACAAGUGCUCCCCGAAUCCACGGAGAGACGACUCAGAGGGACCCAUAGAAAUGGACCUGACGCUGCAUAACAUCUCAAAAACUCAAAGCAGCCCACCCAGGAUGGUUCAUUAAAGUUGUUUUUGCCAGGUUUCUAAAAUACUACACAAUAUCAGUUUCAUGGUAAUUGAGAUUCCCUCCCACAUAUACUAUCAUAGCAUAGCAUUCAACUACCUACGAUGGCAAUUGGUGGAAAGGUAAUGACACUGGUAUCCUACUCUACUACGACAAGAAUAUAGAUAGGAUAGAUACAAAUAAAUAUCCCUAUCAAUGCAAACUACACAACACUAGGGCAUAAGUAUUUAAACUAAGGAAUGUAAUGGGAGUUUAUGAUCAAAGUGAAACUUGCCUGUUUAGUGUCUUUGUAUUCUUCUUCUUUUUCGAUGAUCAUAGUUAUCGCACUUCGUAUAAUCUAUCGUGCAGAACGAAAGAACAAUAAUAAACACAUAGUUCGAUAACUUCAAAUAAAUCCAAAUGAAGAACCAAACGUGAUAAUCAACGAUUAUCUUUAAUGCUAAAGCGUAGGUUUGGGUUUGAAAAGGAUGGGAAAGGUUCGAAAGGAAUUAUAACUAAGGAAAUAAUACUAUACCCUUUGCAUCCCACAUGUUGUAUUUGUGAAAACAUGGAUAAUGCACAUCUCACGAUCCAUCUAAUGUUAAUACAAGAUAUGCAACAAUAUGACAGAGCUAUCAUGCAGACUAUGGAUCUUAGCUGAACAUGAUAAAUAGCAAAACAUCAUGUUAAUUGUUGUUCUAGCAUGAUAAGCUACUAUUAUUUAGUUAAUAGUAAUUAAAUUGAAUGCAUCAAAUUCAUUUAUGCAAUGCCAACACAACUAUACAUGCUAAUUGACUAAGCUACAAGAAAGUUAAUUUUAUUAGCUCUAGUUUAUUAUCAUGCCGAGGCUAACAAUGACAUGAUUCUCAUGAUGCAAUUUAUAGGUAUGAAAAUAUAAUUACAUAAAUUAUUUUAGUGAUACCCAAGUCAAGAAAACAUAGAUCAAGAACCUAGGGUUUACGAUAUCAAGAUUUGAUAUGAAUCUCCAAGUUGUCGGAACAAAUUAGAGAAUGGAAAACUAAUAUAGAUGAGUUUAAAGACAUGAACAUGUCAUGAUCAGAUCAUAAACACGCGAUAGAUGCAAAGAAAAUCUAUAUUAGAAGGUUAGACAAAAGGAUAGGAUUGAAUUGGAAUUGAAGUAGUGAAGUUCUGGCUGUUAACGGAUACAAAGUUCUAUGGACCAUGGUAUGUUGUAUAUAAACUUGGAAAGGUGUGUAAAGGGGUCCAGAAUGUAGAGUUGGAUGUAAUCUUGUGAGCACAGAAAGAAUCAACUGAUUCGGAUCUACGGAUCGACACAUAUAGUGUCGGGGGGAUGACCCCGGGUAGGGUCAUGGCGACACAACUCUAGCCAAGAUGACGGAGGGAAAGCCGGCAUAGUUACGUAUGCCGGCAUCGUAAAGUUAAGCUAACACUAAGCCGGCAUCCCGGGCGUAUGCCGGCAUGGCUAUCUUGUUUUAUAAGUUUGCAGGAUAAGGACGAGCACUUUGAUCUUGGCGAUAGCCGAGAUCUCUCAACGGUCUUAUCCUGACCACGCGGUGCAAAGUAAAGUAAAGCCAUCAUCAUCUCAGAAAAGCGGUCAGCGCCUGCGUACCCGUGUCAGGUGACCACGCUAGAGAAGCACCGAAAGAGAAUCUCUGACUGAAGCCGACAGAGGAUAGUUGUACCCGUUGUAGACUGGCAGGGAAAAGUAAAAAGUUGUCUUGUCCCCUACGGUACUGCCUGGAGGGAACCAAGCCGCGUGCCCGGUGGGGCCCAAGGAAGAUGACGAUAGACUCGGCCCAGAUGUCAGUGUGACAUGGGCGGCCUAUAAAUAAAACCUUACCCCUCUAUAGAUAGAAGAGAGAGCACUUAGGCAUCCAGGGUUUUCCCUUCUUCUUCUUCCUCAAGAAUACAGCUCAAGAAGCGCCAUUGUAGAGCUUGCCUAUCUCGGCUAGUACAACAAAGCAGGAGUAGGAGUCUUACCUCAACAAGAGGGCUCCGAACCUGGGUAAAUCUCUGUGUGCUUGUGUGUUUUGUGCGUGUUUCCCUUCAUGACCUCCCUCAUCCGGAUCCUCCUACUGUUGGAGAUAUGCCCUAGAGGCAAUCAUGUGAUGAUGUUAUUUCCUAUGUAUUCAUGAGUUAUUGUUAUUGUCCUUGAACAUCAUCACUGAUAUGUAUCAAUAAAUACGUGAUUUGUUUGUGAGACUAUGUAUUCUAUGAUGUUGUUCUAAUGGUCCCUAGUCAUUGAGGUUAUGCGGACACAUAAUCUAGACUAGCAAUGUGAAUCAAUAUGAUGACUAUGUUUCACAAGUCAUAGGGCAAGGUGUUGCCGACUGAUAGCAUGGACUCGACAAUGAGAUUGUUGAGUCGGACAGACCCGCACUGAGACACAACGAGAUGAUUGUCAUUUGUUAGUCUCAAGUACGAUGUAUAUGCCAGUCCUAGACCUGAGGUCAUCGUAUGAGCUUGGGAUGUGAAUCGGCCUACUUAGGGGUUGCCAAACGCUACUCCGUAACUGGGUGGUUAUAAAGGUAGCUUUCGGGUUUGCUGAGAAACAUACUGCGAGUCAUGGUUGAUCAAGAUGGGAUUUGCCCCUCCUGUUCGGAGAGAUAUCUCUGGGCCCUCUCGAGUGAUCAGAUUCGGAAAGCAUGGCCAUGCGACUUGGGUUAAGUGUUAACCCGUUCGGGAAUCUGUAUCACAGGAACGAGAAGAGACUCGAGCUAUCCACAAGGAUGACACGCACUCGCCUUGAGCUCGACACACAUAUCGCGAGGCAAAAGGAAUGUUGCAUAUGACACAUUGUAUGGUUCGUCAAUAUACCUUGUGGUUACUCGGGAGUUGGCACGUGCUGCUAGGCGCCGCUACCAACUAUCGACUUGAGUCGGUGCCAGUGGACGAGUAAGGUGUUACUCGGGCCCGCAGUCCGAGCUCGUAGUCGUGGCCGACUGACCGCGAACCUGAAGGGUCACACGCUUAAGGGGUGGGAACCGAGUUGGAUCGGAUCCAACUCGUAUCGGGCUUGGACUCCUAAUGGGCCUCAAGUGUUGAGCCCACUAGGGACGUCUAUAUAAGUGGAGGAGACCAACCCGUCUAGGGUAACCCCAGUUGAGACGCGAGUUAGACUCGGCCGUCGCACCUCCACGCCCAAAGCCUUGCGAUCGGAUCUAGCAGUCCGCCGCACGGAGUUCCUCCCUGUACGUGUGGAUACCUCGGAGGCGCGGCACCUGCGGCGCUUGGACGAACUGUUCGUGGGAUCGACGAGGAGGAGCAGGCUGUUCGACUACUCGGCAUCGACGCGCUACAUCGACUCUACUUCCGCUACGGGUCUGCGCGUCUAGUGGUAAUCUCGUGAUCCAUUAUCUACAGCAUUGAUCCGGGCGGAAGCGGUAGAAAAUUUUAUUUUGUGCUAGCGUAGCAUACCGCGUUCCCCAACAGUGGUAUCAGAGCCGAUGCUGUCUGUUUUGGAUUCGAAUUACGUGCAUAAGUGUUAUGCGGUUAGUAGUAGAUGUGAUCUAUUGCUAUCUUGGUGGUCGAUCUGAGUGUUAGAUCGGUUUUGUAGUCAAUCGAUUGGAUCGAUUGUACUCGGGGAUCAUGGAUAUUCGAUUCUGAUAAUCGUGAUGUAGAAGGUCGUGACACAACAUACUCCUACCGGUCGGAUUUCCGCCAUCGGAGUAGACAGUGAAACAUAAAUCCGGAUACAAUUCAUGAGAUCAAUGUGAUUGAUCGAAUCGGAAUAGGAAUCCAUGAAGGAAAUUUCGGAUUGGAUCUGAACCGCCGUGCUAUCUAUUCGUAGCGCCUUAGUUGUCGUUGCGAGUUCACAUCAAUUCGGUAGAAUAGGUUUCUACACUUAACUUGUUUUUGCAGGAUUGAUGUGAAUAGUAUGGCUCAUAUGUAUGUGAUGCAUGUGUGUAAUAUUUGCAUGACCUGCGUGUCAUGAGUUUGUCAGCCAGGCUGGAGCCAAGGUGCUGUCUUUAUAAUUGUAUAACGACCUGCGUGUCGGCAUUUGAUGUCAUUCUCCAUGUAAAUUCUUUGCUAGAUACUAGGUGCAGUCAUUUAGUAUGAAUUGGAGGACGUGUGCACCAUGGCGGCUUGAUGAACAGGUUCCUGGAGAUGGAGAUCACCAUGAAGAACAGAGCCAUACUAUUUCACAUGUUAAUUUGAUUAUCUGUGAUGGUUAUUGCUUUGUUUACUCCUAUGCAUGUUAUUGUGUUAGAGUAGAAUGAUCCCUCAAAGAAUGUCAAGUUUAUUUACCUCCCCAAUAGCUGCAACACCACAAGACAAGUACAUUUGGUGAUGGGCUCAUGAAAUUGGGGUAUCACCAUUUUUCCUUGUCGUUGGUGAUGUUCGUGUCGGACACUUACAUGCGAAGCUUUGGUUAACUUGACGGGGCUAUCAAAACGGUUUUGGGCCUCGAGGUGAAAGGAGUCGGAGCCGGGGCAAGUGUUGCCUACCGACUAACAAGAGUCGUAUAGAGAUACGAUUGGCAAGAGUUGCCUACCGAGUGAUUCAAUCGGCUAGCAGUGAUGCUAAAGCUCACUAGACGAUUGGUUGAUCUUGGAUCUUGAAUCACUAAUGAUCAAUGGAGGGAUGUUGAUUUUAGUGGGAGUAUAUUUCUAUUAAAUUGUUUAAUAUGAAUUACUCUUCAUGAAUACUUGUCUUAGUGUUUUUGCAUUUUCUGUUGUAGAUCAAUGGCACCACCUCAAUUGUCCAGUUUUGCUUUGAGAUCUGUUCUUGAGAAAGAUAAACUAAAUGGAACUAACUUCACCAACUGGUAUCGGAACCUGAGAAUCGUUCUCAGGCACGAUAAGAAAGAACAUGUCAUAGAGAACCCACUUCCAGAGGAGCCGGCUGAUAAUGCCACUGCUGCUGUUAGAAACGCCUAUCAACGCUCAUGUGAUGAGUCGAUUGAAAUCAGCUGUCUGAUGCUUGCCUAUAUGGAGCCCGAACUGCAGCAGCAGUUUGAGAAUGUUGAGGCUUUCGAUAUGAUCGAGACUCUCAAAGGCAUGUUUCAGACUCAGGCUAGGACCGAAAGAUUUAAUGUCUGGAGGUCCUUCCUGGAGACUAAGCUGAAAGAAGGCGAACCCUUGAGCCCACAUGUAAUCAAGUUGGUUGGUUACACGCAAAGCUUGGAGAAGCUGGGUUUUCCGCUGAGCCAAGAGUUGGCCACGGAUACAAUUCUGGCAUCUCUUCCGCCAAGCUAUGCGCAGUUCGUUCAGAACUACCAUAUGCAUGGUAUGGAAAAGAAAGUCACUGAAUUGCAUGGGAUGCUUAAAACAGCAGAGGAGGAUAUCAAGAAAAAUACCAAGCAAGUGUUGCUGGUACAGGGAAAGCCAAAGUUCAAGAAGAAUUCUUGGGCUAAGAAGAAGGCAAAGAAGGGAAAGGCUAAGGAUGUGAUCCCGACCCCUGCCCCUGCUGCGCCUAAGGCUGGACCGGACUCAGAGACCGUAUGCUUUUUCUGCAAAGGCACCGGUCAUUGGAAGAGGAACUGCAGCAAGUACCAGGCCCACGUGGCAAAGAAGGGUGGAAGUGUGACUUCUACUUCAGGUACGGUUGUUGUAUGUGUUAUAGACAUUUAUCUUGCUGAUGCACCUAACAGCUCUUGGGUAUUGGAUACCGGAUCGGUUGUUCACAUUUGCAACUCGAUGCAGGGGUUGGCAAGGACUAGGAGCGUCGCAAGUGGAGAGGUUGACAUAAGGGUUGGCAAUAAAGCAAGAGUUGCAGCGUUGGCCGCCGGGACUAUGCAACUUCAUUUACCUUCUGGAUUUGUUAUGGAAUUAGAUAAUUGUUAUUAUGUUCCUGCUUUAAGUCGAAACAUUAUAUCUGUCUCAAAGUUGUUGAGUCAUGGUUAUGAAUUCAAUAUUAAGGGCAAUGGUUGUUCUUUUUAUUUGAAGGAUAUGUUUUACGGCUUUGCACCUGUUGCGAACGGGUUAUUCAUCCUUAAUCUUGAAGGAGAAUCUGUCUAUAACAUUAAUGUCAAGAGGCGCAAGCCCAACGAUCUGAAUCAAACCUAUUUUUGGCAUUGUCGUUUGGGUCACAUAAGUGACAAACGCAUGAAGAAGCUCCAUGGAGAUGGACUUUUAACUUCGUUUGAUUAUGAAUCAUUCGAGACAUGCGAGUCUUGUCUACUAGGCAAGAUGACCAAGUCGCCUUUUGCAAAGAGUUGCGAGAGGGCGACCGACUUGUUGGAACUCAUACAUACUGAUGUGUGUGGACCAAUGAGCACGACAGCUAGAGGAGGUUAUCAAUACUUCAUAACAUUCACUGAUGAUUUGAGUAGAUAUGGAUAUGUCUACUUAAUGAAACAUAAGUCGGAAACCUUUGAAAAGUUCAAGGAGUUCCAGAAUGAAGUAGAGAACCAACGUGGCAAGAAAAUAAAGCUUCUACGAUCUGAUCGUGGAGGCGAGUACUUGAGUCACGAGUUCGACGGUCAUCUGAAGAGUUGUGGAAUUGUUCCACAGCUCACACCGCCGGGUACACCACAAAGAAAUGGUGUGUCGGAAAGGCGGAACCGGACCUUGUUGGACAUGGUUCAGUCGAUGAUGAGUCAGUCAGAUCUUCCCUUGUCAUUUUGGGGUUAUGCUCUAGAAACCGCAGCGUUCACACUAAACAGAGUACCAUCCAAGUCCGUAGAUAAGACACCAUAUGAGAUAUGGACUGGAAAGCGUCCCAGUUUGUCUUUUCUAAAGAUUUGGGGCUGUGAUGCAUUUGUCAAACGACUUCAGUCGGACAAGCUCACUCCCAAAUCAGACAAGUGCAUAUUCGUGGGAUAUCCAAGGGAAACCUUAGGAUAUUACUUCUACAACCGGGCAGAGGGCAAAGUGUUUGUCGCUCGAAACGGUGUCUUCCUUGAGAAAGAGUUUCUCAGUCGAGAGGCAAGUGGGAGGUCAGUGCAACUCGAAGAAGUUCGAGAUGAGCCAGUAGGGGAUAACUUGACAGGUGAUGUCCGUGUGACUGAGCCAGUCGUCGUACCCACGGCCAAUACAGCACCGUAUCCACGAAGGUCGGAAAGACUACGUAAUAUACGCAAUGUGUUGUUGCUAGACAAUGACGAGCCGACUAAUUAUGCAGAAGCGAUGGUGGGUCCUGAGUCCGAGUUAUGGCUUGAGGCCAUGAGAUCCGAAUUAAAGUCCAUGGAUGAAAACCGAGUUUGGAACUUGGUAGAUCCGCCAGAGGGUGUAAAAACCAUCGAGUGCAAAUGGAUAUUUAAAAGAAAAACUGAUAUGGAUGGAAAUGUUCAAAUCCAUAAAGCUCGACUUGUCGCAAAGGGUUUUCGACAAGUUCAAGGAGUUGACUACGACGAGACUUUCUCGCCGGUAGCGAUGCUUAAAUCAGUUCGGAUCAUUCUAGCUAUUGCUGCAUAUUUCGAUUACGAGAUAUGGCAAAUGGAUGUCAAAACGGCUUUCCUUAACGGAAAUUUAACCGAGGACGUGUAUAUGAUACAGCCCGAGGGUUUUGUCGAUCCAAAGAAUGCUGGAAAAAUAUGCAAACUUCAGAAAUCCAUCUAUGGAUUGAAGCAAGCAUCUCGGAGCUGGAACAUUCGUUUUGAUGAAGUAGUCAAAGGGUUUGGCUUCAUCAAAAAUGAAGAAGAACCUUGUGUAUACAAGAAGUUUAGUGCAAACUCAGUCGUAUUUCUAAUCUUAUAUGUGGAUGACAUAUUAUUGAUUGGAAAUGACAUUCCGAUGCUAGAAGCCGCCAAGGACUCAUUGAAGAAAAGUUUUUCAAUGAAGGACUUGGGAGAAGCGGCUUAUAUUUUGGGAAUCAGGAUCUAUAGAGAUAGAUCAAGGAGGCUUAUUGGUUUAAGCCAGAGUACAUAUGUUGACAAAGUCUUGAAGAGGUUCAACAUGAAUGACGCAAAGAAAGGGUUCUUGCCCAUGUCGCAUGGUAUAAGUCUAAGCAAGACUCAGAGUCCUUCGACUUCUGAUGAGCGAAGUCGGAUGAGUGCGAUUCCGUAUGCUUCGGCGGUCGGAUCCAUCAUGUACGCCAUGUUAUGUACUCGACCGGAUGUUUCCUAUGCUCUAAGUGUUACGAGCAGGUAUCAGGCUGACCCCGGUGAGAGUCACUGGACAGCGGUGAAGAAUAUCCUUAAGUACUUGAGAAGGACUAAGGAUAUGUUUUUGGUUUACGGUGGUGAGGAUGAGCUCGUUGUAAAGGGUUACACGGAUGCUAGUUUCCAAACCGACAAGGACGAUUAUCGAUCACAAUCUGGAUACGUGUUCGUCUUGAACGGAGGUGCGGUGAGCUGGAAGAGCUCUAAGCAAGAAACGGUGGCCGACUCUACAACAGAAGCUGAGUAUAUCGCGGCUUCGGAAGCCGCGAAAGAAGGCGUUUGGAUCAGAAAGUUUGUUUCUGAGCUUGGAGUGGUUCAGGGCGCGUCCAAUCCCAUGGACCUCUACUGUGACAACAGUGGUGCUAUUGCACAAGCCAAAGAACCACGACAUCACCAAAAAUCCAAACACAUACUCAGGCGUUACCAUCUCAUACGGGAAUUCGUGGAGAGAGGUGACGUUAAGAUAUGCAAGGUACACACGGAUCUCAAUAUUGCCGAUCCGUUGACAAAGCCUCUCCCGCAGCCAAAGCAUGAGGCGCACACACGAGCCAUGGGUAUGCGAUACUUGGAUGAUCGACUCUAGUGCAAGUGGGAGACUGUUGGAGAUAUGCCCUAGAGGCAAUCAUGUGAUGAUGUUAUUUCCUAUGUAUUCAUGAGUUAUUGUUAUUGUCCUUGAACAUCAUCACUGAUAUGUAUCAAUAAAUACGUGAUUUGUUUGUGAGACUAUGUAUUCUAUGAUGUUGUUCUAAUGGUCCCUAGUCAUUGAGGUUAUGCGGACACAUAAUCUAGACUAGCAAUGUGAAUCAAUAUGAUGACUAUGUUUCACAAGUCAUAGGGCAAGGUGUUGCCGACUGAUAGCAUGGACUCGACAAUGAGAUUGUUGAGUCGGACAGACCCGCACUGAGACACAACGAGAUGAUUGUCAUUUGUUAGUCUCAAGUACGAUGUAUAUGCCAGUCCUAGACCUGAGGUCAUCGUAUGAGCUUGGGAUGUGAAUCGGCCUACUUAGGGGUUGCCAAACGCUACUCCGUAACUGGGUGGUUAUAAAGGUAGCUUUCGGGUUUGCUGAGAAACAUACUGCGAGUCAUGGUUGAUCAAGAUGGGAUUUGCCCCUCCUGUUCGAGAGAUAUCUCUGGGCCCUCUCGAGUGAUCAGAUUCGGAAAGCAUGGCCAUGCGAGGGUUAAGUGUUAACCCGUUCGGGAAUCUGUAUCACAGGAACGAGAAGAGACUCGAGCUAUCCACAAGGAUGACACGCACUCGCCUUGAGCUCGACACACAUAUCGCGAGGCAAAAGGAAUGUUGCAUAUGACACAUUGUAUGGUUCGUCAAUAUACCUUGUGGUUACUCGGGAGUUGGCACGUGCUGCUAGGCGCCGCUACCAACUAUCGACUUGAGUCGGUGCCAGUGGACGAGUAAGGUGUUACUCGGGCCCGCAGUCCGAGCUCGUAGUCGUGGCCGACUGACCGCGAACCUGAAGGGUCACACGCUUAAGGGGUGGGAACCGAGUUGGAUCGGAUCCAACUCGUAUCGGGCUUGGACUCCUAAUGGGCCUCAAGUGUUGAGCCCACUAGGGACGUCUAUAUAAGUGGAGGAGACCAACCCGUCUAGGGUAACCCCAGUUGAGACGCGAGUUAGACUCGGCCGUCGCACCUCCACGCCCAAAGCCUUGCGAUCGGAUCUAGCAGUCCGCCGCACGGAGUUCCUCCCUGUACGUGUGGAUACCUCGGAGGCGCGGCACCUGCGGCGCUUGGACGAACUGUUCGUGGGAUCGACGAGGAGGAGCAGGCUGUUCGACUACUCGGCAUCGACGCGCUACAUCGACUCUACUUCCGCUACGGGUCUGCGCGUCUAGUGGUAAUCUCGUGAUCCAUUAUCUACAGCAUUGAUCCGGGCGGAAGCGGUAGAAAAUUUUAUUUUGUGCUAGCGUAGCAUACCGCGUUCCCCAACACCUACGUCCAUCGGCUCCAAGUUAAGCCAUCCUAUGGCAUCUGCCGUGACACCACGAUGACAGUUGGCGCCCACCGUGGGGCCAGCAGCAGCGCUGGCUGGAGUUUUCAUCCGGACGGGAAGCUUCCUCGUCAUCGGAGAGCGCGUGGUAUCCGGUUUGGUCCAGAGAUUCGGUUCUCUGAGCUUCAUCGACAAUAACACGGGCUGCUUCAACGGCACACCGCUUCCCUAUGCAGGCCGCUUCAUCAAACUUGGCAUGCACGAUGUCUAUGUUGCUACUGACAGCCCUUGCAGGUACCCAGAGCAGGUGGUGAUGGCUGAAGAUCCCCCCACAAUCUGCAAGGCUCGCGGCCGGCACGUCGACUGCCCCGCUGACCAUGUGGAGGUUAUGGUGACGGCUCAUGGCGCUGAUGCGGGAAGGGACGCUGCAGUAAGUGGCGCGGUCCCAAUCAAGUCCGGCAGAACGGCGAAGCUCCCUUUGGAGAAGCCGGAGAACAUCGCCGCUCAAGCCGGCACAUCGGCUCUGCCGCGGAAGCCAACUCAGAUCCAGGCCUCCAUCGAGCGGCUGACCGCGCCGGUGGCAUCGAAUGCUAACCCGGCCCAGCUGCAGGCGGAGUUGGAGUUACAGAGACAGAAGCUGCUGAAGGAAGCCGUCGACGUCGCCAACGCCCGACAACAGUUCGACAUCUCGCUUCGUGAGUAUAACAAACCUCAUGGUCGCAGUUCUACUGCGUUUAGUAACCCUAGUAGAGUUGGGGAGGUGCGUAACCGUGUGUAACAUCCCAAAUUUUCAAUUUCGGAUGUACGCACCUUUUCAUUUCUUAUGAAUAUCACCUUGAUCAUAUCUUAAAAUUUUGGUGUUCGUUAUGAUGCAUUAUUGAAAGUGUUGGAAAUGGUGUUUUGGAAUGUGUUAGGUUGAUAGAAAUUGAUUUGAGAAUUUUUUAGAAUUUAAAAAUGCAUUCUACGAUUUUAUUUGGUCCAGAGAAUUUUUAUUAUUUUAUUUUUGAGUGGGAAUAAUUUUCCUGGACUCUAAAGGAAAUAUAUUAUUUUACAGAAUUUUUGGGAAUUGUUCUGAAGCCAUUUGAUAUUUUCAGGUGAAUUAUAAAUCCUGAAAAGUAUUUUUCUUUUAUUCUUUUUCUUUUUCUCUGAAAGUACGCUUUCUCCGCGGGAAAGCGUAUUCUCGGAGAAAUACACUUUCACUUAAAACCCCGAAGGGGUAUCUUCUAAUCUCGGCCGUUCAUCUCGGAUCCAAGGGUCGCUUGCAAUCUUUCUCUUCCCCCCCUCUCUCUCUCACCGACAGGUGGGGCCCACUUGUCAUCUUCUUCCUCCGGCCUCCUCUCCCACGAUCUCCGGCAAAACCGCCGCCUUCACCCGCGAAUUCUGGCCACGCCCGCACCCCGCCGACCCCGCUCGCCCACGCGCCUGCCUGCGCUUGCCCGCGCGUGCACGCCACGCCGACCCCGCGCGUGCGCCCACGCCAUCCCGCACCCCCGACCCAACCGCCGCCGGCGCGCCCGACUCCACGCCUGCGCCAACCGCCGCCACCUCGCCACGCGCCCCGCCCCUAUAAAAUCCGCGCGCGCCCCCUCUCCCGAACGCCCCGCAUGCCCGUGCCCUCCCCUGCCCGAGCGCCGCUCCCCACGCCCAAAAUCGCUGCCGCCGCCGCCCAACUCCGGCGGGAAAGCGCCGAAGAACCGCCGCCUAUUUUGCCAAGCCGCUACCGCCUGCGUGAUCCCCACGACACCAUGAUCCUUCCCCAACCCUCCUUCCUUCCCGAGUCCCGAUUCGGCGAUCCGCUCAUCUCCGGAGAGAUUUGGGUAUGAACAUGUUCAUCUGCCGUGCUUUUCGGUUAGCUCCGUUCAAGCGUCGAUUGUUAGCAACCCUCUCAUCAUUAUGUGCUCUAGUUAUCACCAUGGUGUAGAGUGUAUGUUCCUCUACAAUUUCUCUGUAGACAGUAGCCAUAGAUGGUUCAUCUCGUGCAUUGCAUCGUCGUUGCAAAAUGGUAUUCUUAGCAGCUUUUCUGCCUCUGCCGCGGCAGGAAAUUGUAGCACCAUCCUUAAUGAGUGGCCACAUUCAUCUGUUCAUAGCUACUGCCUCAUAUCUCCAUAGUUCGUGAAACCAGUGCCAAUUGGAAGAGUAGGUCAUAUUCUUGGAUUCGUAUGUUUAGUUCUCUGCCAUUGGAAUAGCUUAGCACCAGUAGCUUUUCACUCAAAGUUAGUACCCUUUAUUUGUCAGAAUCUGACUAGCCACCUUUGCAAGCCAGUAACUUUUGAUCUGUUUAUCCAUUUGACCUGAAACCUGUUGCGUUAGCUAGUACAACCUCAGAACUAUACUGUAGCAUAUGUUUCAUGCCAUGUACUGUACUUUAGCACCUUUUACCUUUCAACCCUAGUUGCAAUCUGUUAACAAUAGCAGAUUACUGAAUCUUCAGACUUAGCCACACUAGCCUUAACCUUAGACUUUAGAACCUUGUUUGUUGGUAGUAUAGUAUUGUUUGCAUGAAGUCGAGGUUCUGUUCUUGAAUGUUUGUAAUGCAUUCCUUUAUUCAAAGUUUAUUUGGAGUUAUAUUUGGAUUUGGAUAUAUAUUUGGAAAUAUGCAUUUAUUUUGUUUCGUUUUUCACGUUAGAUUAUUCGGAUUGCGACUGCGACGAGUGCCAGGGAGUUGACGACCGCAACAACUUUUCUGAUCCAGGCAUGUUACACUUAUUGAUCAUGUAGUACCUAUAUUUUUGCUUAGGCUAUGUUGUUUACAAUGUCAUAGGGAUGCAUGUUAGAUUUAUUUCCAUAUGAAGUAUUUAUCAAAUGCGUUUUCAACAUGUUUAGUUAUUCCUAGUAGAUUGCUUAUAGGAUCCAUUGCCAUGCCACCAAAUACCAUAGGUUAUGUAUUUACAUUUUUCCAAAGCAUGCUAUACUAUUAUAACGGGACGGGACCCAAACUAUAUUGAAAAGCAUUAAGUGCUCUUUAUGAGCGAGUAUGUUUUUGGAAAAAUGUUUUCGAAAUAAAACCAAAAUGUUUUAUCUGGAUGGAGUGGUAUGAUGGAGGCCAAGUGGCUGUCGGCAAGUGUUGUAGCCCCGUAACGGGUACACGCUCAGGAGAAGGUGGGGACCGCCGUCCAGAAAUCCAAGAGUUCAAACCUUCUCAUGUACACAAAGGCUUAUUGUACAACCACUUGCUAUUAUGGGCUUUGGCUUGGUCGACUAACUAGCGGGAAACCCUUACCUGAGUAUCGCCAUCCGGAGAGGAGCCAAUGUGCUCAUAUGGGGUGGGCGGUGCCAGAAUUAGGUAUCAGGGGGCUUCUAGUGAAAGACUUCAUCACAAUCUUUACCUGUUGCGCACGCUUGUCGUCAGGCAACACUUUGGACUGAUUGUGUCAAGUGGGUAAAGUGUACAAACCUCUCGAGAGUGUCAAUCUAAUCGAUUAGCCAUGCCCCUGGUUACGGGCGACUUUGAGUCAUUAAGUCAAGAGAAGUGGAGAUCUUCAACAUUUGUUUUCAAAAAACCCAAAACUGUUUUGACUCGAUGGAAGGUUCCACAGGAUGAGUCAGGAGAACCGGGAUGCUAUGUGAGUGUCAGAUGACCCAGAGUGCAUAGCUAGGUCGUGGAGUGAAUAUCCACAGAAUGACCAUACUAUUGGUCAAACCCUGUUUUAUCAAAACCCCAGGAUUAGAGAUUUUUCAAAGGAAAAUACUAUGAGUAUUUUGAAACCCCAAAAGCAGCAUUUUGCAAAAACAACCCUAGUAGCCAAACUAGGAAAUCCUUCAUCAUUUCAAUGCAUUUCUCCUAACCACACAGGUGUGACUUGCAAGUACAUUCAAUGUACUGACCUGCACCUAUCAUGUGAAGAGAGUGACGCUUAAGAAGAAGACGCAGGGUCGCGAGUCUACACUCAACUUGCCUGUGGCAUUGAUGGGACUCCCUCUUUAUCAGUUUGCUUUAUUUUGAACUUCCGCUUGGCUUGUAUUAAGUACUCUGGAUUUGUAUUUCAAACCGAUGUAAUAGACAUGUGUAUGGUACUUCAUCAAUGGAACUGUGUGUGCUAGCUUUUGAUCCAGGGACUAGCACAGAUUACACAGAGGUCCGGAUCCUUACGGGUCUGGGUCGCCACACCGUGGCAAGAACUUGAAUGCUGAGAUGACAAGAGAUGGCAGGGGUGUGCCCGCUGUGUCGGCAAGUUUUGCCUCGGCACUAAAGCCGAAAUACAAUACCCUUGUCAAAAAUCCCAGAGCUGCCGAGGCUGCGGUUGAGGAGUUGCCGAAUCUUAAGGGAGAGGCACUUCGGCAGCAGCAGCUGCGCGUGAAAGAAUUGCUCCAAACAACUAAUGAACAGAAUGAGGCAUACAUGAGAAUGCACGGCAAACCCGGUGCAUCUCAGGUCAUUCACUCGGCUGCAGAUGCUGGUGGCCGGGUUGACAAGCAACCAUCCUCACCUGGUGGCAAACGGGACAAAAGCGCUAACUCUGGCCGGGAUAAGCAGUUGGAACGCUAUGACCCGGCCAUGGCCGAGAACAAAUAGUUAGAAGGGUUGAUGACAUCCAAAGUGGUUUGCGUCCCGGCGGCAACCGCCGAGAUCAGCAGGAGUGUUACUCAUUUGAUCAUGGGCACCGACCUCGGGGUCCGGCACCCAAUACUGCUGCGGGACAGCAGGGUGUCGGGUGCAACCCCCUGUAUCAAGGUGAAGAUCGCCGUUAUGACCGUUACGAUGACGGAUACUCGGCCAUGGCUGACGAGGGUUAUAUCAGGCGAGAGCGCGACAAUCUCGGCCCACUCAGAGGCCGAAUUGGGAACAAGCAGGUAUCGCCCCUAGAUGCUCGACAUCGGCUUGACAGAAUUUAUAUGUCCGAGCUUCUGGAGGAGCAAGGCCCUCCAGGACCACGUUGCUUCGCGCAUCGGAUCAUGAGGGAGAGACCAGCCCCGGGUUUCCAGCUGCCCAAGGGUACAAGAACGUAUGAUGGCAAUACUAAGCCGGAAGAUUGGCUGGAAGACUAUGUCACAGCAAUAAGCAUGGCAGGCGGCAAUCACAGAUGGGCAGUACGUUAUGUACCCCAGAUGCUCGUGGGACCGGCAAGGAUAUGGUUGAACAAUUUGCUGGAAAGUAGAGGUUCCUUGCCGGGACGGGUGUUCCCGGGCGCAGGCACCCGUAACAAGAGCGGGACCAGUGGCCGCUCGGCGGGCUCCCCGUGCGCAGGGUUCGUCAGGACAAGGAGUGAAGCGCACUCAAGCAUUAAAUGCACCAACAGAAAGGGGAUUCCCCGUCCAGUCAGCCUACAGUGACUGGCCCGGUGUAAAUCCUAGGCACGUAGGACCCUAGUUGCAGGGCUACCCAUCAUGCAUGCAAGCCAGCGCGGCAGGGCCGAGCUGCCCUGGCUCGCUGUUCGCCAUCUGUCACCCAUGCACCGAGGCACCUGUGGUAUCUCCUUGAGUAUAAAAGGAGGACCCCCGCCAAUGGUCAAAGGGUUCGGUUCUAUUUUCCUACUAGUUUUAGUCAGAAAUAGCAAGUAGCCCUUAGCGGAAGAAGAGAGAACGCCCGGGGACUCCCCCCGGCAACUUGUAAACCCUUGCUCAUCGGUUAAUAGCAAAACUCAAAAGAAGGACGUAGGGUUUUACACCUCAGGGUGGCCCGAACCUGGGUAAAAACGAUCCCGUGUUCAUCGUGUGCCAACGCUUGACAUUGGCCUCGCCGGCGAUCGCCGGAGCGAUCCCCGUCGCCCACUGCCGAACCUAAAAGGGGGUGCUCACGCAUCCCCAGUGUCUGAGCCCCGUGCUACGACACGAUGAUCUUGAUGAUCAUUCCUCCGGAAUGCCCCAGCAAGAUUUUAUGUCGGCUGCUCCCUUUGUUGUUCUACCAACAUCAGCGAUGGCUGAGUCGGAUCGCCAAGCGCUUGCAUGUCGGCGAUCCUGAUCAUUUCAGAUAGAGUGGCCGGCAUCUGUCUUUGCAGCUUCUGCCACAACAUGCUGCCGUGCCGACAUUCCUGGGCAAACCACGCUAUGGCUUGCGAUUCCACUAUCCCUUGACAGGAAUUACGGAGAUUGUUCCAUCUAGUCAGGUAAUCCCGGUCAGUCUCAUUGUCUCUUUGCUUGCACAUGGACAACUGUUGAGGACGAUUCGGCCUCUUGUAAGUGCUAGUGAAAUUGCUGACAAAUACUUCCUCAAAGUCUAUCCAGCAGUCGCCCUCGGGCGUGGGCCGGCAACACCCGUUCCCGUGUGGACCCUUCCCUGGUCGGUUGCCGGGCCACGCCCUUAACCGACGCGUGGGUCCCGAGCCGCUUCGGGUCCUCGUCUAUGCGCUGCUUCAAGGAUUUUUCCGUUACGGGCAGAGUAGUGGGCGCGAGAUUUCCGCCCUAACCUCCCCCUUAAACAAGGGUGGUUAAGGUCGCGCCCUACACUAUGCUCUUGAAGUGUAGUUAUCCCCAGCGCACCCGUAGGGUGCGGUUGCGACCGUUGCUUACCGCCGGGGUGCUAUAAGACCCCACCGUUGCGCUGAGGAGCAAACACUUAGCCCCCCAGCCCUUCUUCUCCACCCUCACGCUCCCUUGCACCCCCUGAAUCCUGCUAGCUUCCACCCGCGUUCUGAUAGCCUCGAGGGUGUCCCGAUCUUUCGAUGAGAUACCUAAUUAUCGAUUUGGUAGGAGGUGACGUUGACGAUCCGACUACAACCUAGGAGGCAGCGCCUUAGCGAUCGAUACACCAACUCCAGAAGGUUAUUGAUCCCGCGGGGGCACGAUCAACCUGACCACGAAGGUCUUUGUUCCUGCAAGCAAUCGAAGAACAAGCAAGAACAAGAUGAAAAGCAAUCUGAAAUUGCGAAUAGGAGAUAUGAAGGUUCACGAAUCUGAAUACUCAAUAUAGUUGGAGUCUUGAUGACGGUAAAACAGGUGGUCUAACCGACACACGCGAUUACACGAAAGUAGCAAAGGCUAAACUUUAUCUAAUCAAAACCCAAGGCUCCAUGGGGGGGCUCAUGGGGUAUAAAUAGGAGGGGAACUAGGUGGUUUUCGGACAGGUCCUUGAGGGACUCCGAAACGGCCUAGGAAUCCUCCUAAAACACAACGAAAACAUCUAAAAAUUGGCUGGACCCUAUUACAUGGCCUUAGGCCCAAUAAAGCAAGGUUAUAACCCUCAUCUUUGGCCCAUAGAUACCCAUUGGAGGGAGAAUCCUCCACUUGGCCGAAAUCCCAUUGAUGAAGAGGAUGCGGCCUUCUUCUCAUCUCUCGUUAUGGCGGUUUCAAUGUUCUGAAAUCAUCACUUGAGCUAGCUCCCGCCACCUUGCUGCCACCUCCAUGGUUUGCUGUCCAACGCUGAUCCUUGAGGUGCAAGCUAGGUCCUUCAUUCCUAAAACACAUAAAAGAAACCAUCUUAGGCAGCAGCAUGUUCUCAUUAAUAUUAAAUGAAGUACCGAGGAACGAAAGUACCUGAUAAUUUAGUUGUCGUGCACGAGCUCUAGUAAUUGGUCCAUGUAUCUCCGGUACUUGAGGUGUAUGUGCUGUAGGGGCUGUGGUUGUAUCAUUAGUUGGGAUGUCCUCAUCAUCCUCCCCUUCUUGAAUCGAAGUCGUCCUCGACGGUAGUUCAUCUUCUUCGCCCAAAUAAGGCUUCAAAUCUGCAAUAUUAAACGUGGGACUAACCCCAAAAUCUGCAGGUAGCUCAAGUUUAUAUGCAUUAUCAUUAAUUUUUGCUAACACCUUAAAGGGACCAUCAGCUCGUGGCAUUAACUUAGACUUGCGCAAAUCAGGGAAACGAUCUUUGCGCAAAUGCAACCAAACAAGAUCUCCAGGUUCAAACACAAUUUGUUUUCUGCCCCUAUCUCCCGCAAGUUUAUACUUAGAAUUCAUGCGCUCAAUGUUCUCUUUAGUCGUCUCAUGCAUUUUUAUUAUAAGUUCAGCACGUUCCUUAGCAUCAAAGUUAACUUUUUCAGAAGUUGGCAAAGGUAACAAAUCAAUUGGUGCACGAGGCAUAAAACCAUAAACAAUUUCAAAAGGGCACAAUUUUGUGGUUGAAUGCAGUGAACGAUUAUAAGCAAAUUCAAUAUGAGGUAAACAUUCUUCCCACAUUUUCAAGUUCUUCUUUAAAACAGCCCUAAGCAUAGUAGAUAAUGUUCUAUUAACAACUUCAGUUUGUCCAUCUGUUUGGGGAUGACAUGUAGUACUAAAAAGCAAUUUGGUCCCCAACUUAGCCCAUAAACAUCUCCAAAAGUGGCUAAGAAAUUUUGUGUCACGAUCUGAAACUAUAGUAUUGGGCACACCAUGCAAGCGAACAAUUUCACGAAAGAAUAAAUCAGCAACAUUUGUAGCAUCAUCGCUCUUAUGACAAGGUAUAAAAUGUGCCAUCUUAGAAAAUCUAUCAACAACAACAAAUAUGCUAUCCCUCCCCUUCUUAGUUCGAGGCAAUCCCAAAACAAAAUCCAUUGAUAUAUCUUCCCAAGGAACAUUAGGAACAGGGAGAGGCAUAUAUAAACCAUGAGGAUUGAGUCGUGACUUAGCUUUUUGACAUGUAGUGCAACGAGCGAUAAAUCUCUCAACAUCCCGUCUCAUCCGAGGCCAAAAGAAAUGAUCAGCGAGCACAUCUUCGGUCUUUUUCACGCCGAAGUGACCCAUCAACCCUCCUCCAUGUGCCUCCUGUAACAACAAAAGACGAACGGAGCUAUCUGGGAUGCAUAGCUUGUUAGCACGGAACACAAAUCCAUCAUUAAUGACGAACUUGUUCCAUGUUCUGCCCUCUUUACAAUGCUGCAAAACAUCCUUAAAAUCUGCAUCAUGUUCGUAUUGUUCUUUUAUAGUCUCCAAUCCAAAUAUCCGAAAAUCAAGCUGAGAUAACAAGGUAUAACGACGUGAUAACGCAUCAGCAAUAACAUUAUCUUUACCCUUCUUAUGUUUAAUAACAUACGGAAAAGACUCAAUAAAUUCAACCCAUUUAGCAUGACGACGGUUCAGCUUUGCUUGACUACGAAUAUGCUUCAAAGAUUCAUGAUCAGAAUGUAUAACAAAUUCUUUGGGCCAUAAAUAAUGUUGCCAUGUUUCUAAAGUCCGAACGAGAGCAUAUAAUUCCUUAUCAUAAGUAGAAUAAUUCAGACUAGGCCCACUCAAUUUUUCACUAAAGUAUGCAACAGGUUUUCCGCCUUGUAACAACACACCUCCUAAACCGAUUCCACUAGCAUCACACUCCAACUCAAAAGUCUUAUUAAAAUCAGGAAGUUGGAGUAAAGGAGCAUGUGUCAACUUAUCUUUCAAUAUGAGAAAAGCUUCUUCUUGUGCAGCGCCCCAUACAUAUGGAACGUCCUUCUUUGUGAGCUCAUUAAGCGGUGCAGCAAGGGUGCUGAAAUCCUUUACAAAGCGGCGAUAAAACCCAGCGAGUCCAAGAAAGCUCCUCACUUGGGUGACCGUUGUUGGAGUUGGCCAGCUUUGAAUUGCGUCGAUCUUGGCCUUAUCAACUUCUAUGCCCUCUGGAGUGACAACAUAGCCAAGAAACGAAACUCGAUCGGUGCAAAAGGUGCACUUCUCAAGGUUACCAAACAAACGUGCAUCUCUCAAAGCAUCAAAAACAGCACGUAAAUGAUUCAAGUGGUCUUCUAAAGAGCUGCUGUAAAUCAAUAUAUCAUCAAAAUAAACCACCACAAAUCGUCCUAUGAAAGCACGUAAAACUUCGUUCAUUAACCGCAUGAAAGUGCUAGGUGCGUUAGUAAGACCGAAAGGCAUGACUAACCACUCAUAUAGUCCAAACUUAGUUUUAAAUGCUGUUUUCCAUUCAUCGCCUAAUUUCAUUCGAAUUUGGUGGUAACCACUACGUAAAUCAACUUUAGAGAACACGGUAGAGCCACUUAAUUCAUCUAACAUAUCAUCAAGUCUAGGAAUUGGGUGACGAUAGCGAAUAGUAAUGUUAUUAAUAGCUCUACAAUCUACACACAUACGCCAAGAACCAUCUUUCUUUGGUACCAAAAUAACAGGAACAGCACAAGGACUAAGGGAUUCACGAAUAUAACCUUUGUCGAGCAAUUCUUGAACUUGUCGUUGAAUCUCCUUCGUCUCCUCUGGAUUGGUACGGUAGGGCGCACGGUUGGGCAGCGAAGCACCAGGAAUUAAAUCAAUUUGAUGUUCAAUCCCUCGAAUAGGUGGUAAUCCUGGUGGUACGUCUUGUGGAAAGAUGUCGGAAUACUCCUGCAAAACGUGAGUAACAGCAGGGGGCAAAGAGGGAGGCAUAUCCUCAAAUGAAAACAAAGCCUCUUUGCAAAUGAAUGCAUAGCAAACAGAAUUAUUCGUAUCUAACUCAGAAAUAUCGGAUUUACUUGCAAGCAAGCAUGCACCUUUCAAUUUAAUUUCAUUAACAUGUUUCGGUUCAGAUUUGCUAGUAGACGCUUGGUGCUUAAAUUCUUUAGCGACAUUAUGGUUCUCACUCUUAUCCUUCUCUUUGCUCUUUGCUCUACUAGCUCUAGCAAGAUCAUCUUUCACAAUUUGUUCAGGAGUCAUAGGUUUCAAACCAAUUUUCUUACCAGCAUGCAUAAAAGAAUAAUGAUUAGUUCUACCAUGAUGAACAGAAUCUGUAUCAUAUUGCCAUGGACGACCGAGUAACAUAGAACAUGCUUGCAUAGGUACCACAUCACAAUCCACAAAAUCAGAAUAUGUACCAAUAGUAAAGUGUGCACGGACUGUUCUAGUUACCUUGAGCUUACCGCUGUUGUUAAACCAUUGAAUGUAGUAAGGGUGGGGGUGCGGCCUGGUGGUAAGAACAAGUUUUUCCACCAUCUCCGUGCUGGCCAAAUUAUUGCAACUUCCCCCAUCUAUGAUGAUACGAACAGCGCGUUCCUUGAUGACCCCUUUUGUUUGGAACAAGUUAUGCCGCUGAUUUUGUUCGGCGUGGCUCAUUUGGACGCUCAAGGUGCGUUGUGCAAUCAAACUCAAGUACUGAUCAGCGGCUUCAGCUCCCAUUAACUCCUCGUCAUGGUGGGCAGCGGGGUCUUCUUGCUCUUCCUCGACAAUGAGAGCAUAGGUAGCUUCGUCAAAAUCACUGGCUGAAUCAUAUACUCCGUCUUCACGUAUGAUCAUAACGCGUUUGGUUGGACAGUCCCGCUGAAAAUGCCCGUAUCCUUUGCACCUACGACAUUGGUUAUCUCCGGUCCGUCCGGUGGAAGCAACGGACGCUGCUGAACUUUGUGCAGAGGCAGCGGGUGUAUUUCUUGUUGCUGCUGGUCCAACCUUUGCGGAUGUAGGUGUAGAGGUACUUUGCUUGUUGGUGGAAGUAGUCGGAACAGCCGGACGUGUAGGGGGUGCAGCUGGGCGUGUGGAAGGGGCAGCGGGGCUGCGUGCUGCCCAUGAGGAAGUACGACCUGCAGAAAAGUUAGUCCGCGCGUUCGCGUGUCGUCCCUGCACUUCCCUUUCAGCUUUGCAAGCAAUGUGAAACAAUCGAUUGAUAGAAUUAUACUCCUUAUAAUCAACAAUGUCAGCAAUUUCACGAUUUAAACCACCAAAGAAUCUAGCCAUAGCAGCUUCCUCAUUCUCAACUAAACCACAACGUAACAUGUUCUUUUGCAUUUCUUGAUAAUAAUCUUGGACAGAAUUACUACCUUGCCUUAAUUGUUGUAGUUUCUUUAACAAGUCACGCGAAUAGUAUGAAGGAACAUAUCUAGCGCGCAUAAUUCUUUUCAAAUCAUCCCAUGUUGGUGGUAUAGCGUUAGGAUGUGCAAUACAAUACUCAUGCCACCAAACAGAAGCAAAAUCAGUAAACUCACUAGUAGCAGCCCUAACCCUCUUAUUAGCAGGAAAAUCAUGGCAAGUAAAUUUUUGACUCAAUUCUAAUUCCCAUGUAAGGUAAGCAUCAGGGUCAUAUUUUCCAUCAAAAGGAGGAACCUUAAGUUUAAUAGAAUGCAGCGAGUCAUGUUCCUCUCUGUGAGGUCGUGUCGGUCCCAUACCUCGGCGGUUGAAACGAGUUCGGCGAUGAUCACGGUCGUUGUGAUGGUUUACGGCCCCGUCGUGUUCCGUAUCCGCGGAGUAGUCGUCGUCGUUCUCCUCAACCUCGCUUGCGAAGGUACCCUUAUUAGCGGUCCGCUGGUUGUGUGUAUUGUUUCCUCCCGGUGUAGCGAUGGUCGUUGCAGCAAUUGCCGCCAGUUGCGUCGUGAUUUCUGCCAGAGAAGUACUAAUGGUAGCAACAGAAUUCUGUAAAGAUGUUAGCUUGGUAUUUGUUUCAAUGUGCGCGCUCUCCAAGGUUCCAAGUCUCUCAUUCGCAACCCGAACGUCCUCAUCCAGCUCCUCGUUACGGAGCCUAAGCUUGCGAUCAAAAUGUGAAAUAAUGCCCUUUGUGCGUGGAGAGUGGCCUUGUAAAUCAUCGUCAGAACCUGCCAUCGUUAGGAGAAAACAAGAAACAAAUCACAAGGAAAAGUCCCUAUGCACUACUAGGAUGUGGGGUUCCAAAGGUCACUCCACUCAACUUUUAAUCAAGUUCUUACUCGUUCUUACCCCGCAAACAGGAAGGUGAUGGCCAGCGGCGAGAACAAGCCCUCCGAAGAUUAGUGUAUCGAUGCCUCGAGGCAAACCAACCUAGGUGUAGAAUCUGUGGAGCUUGGAGGCUUAUGUGAGUAGCAAGGAAAAGCGAAUAAUCAAAUCAGCAAUGCAAAGUUGAAAAUAUGCUCAAAAAUGCUAGUCCUAGUUGCUGGAGUCGACAAGAACGAAUUACAGAAAUUAACUAAGCCUAGAUACUGAAAAAGGUAGAAAGGAAAGAUCAAAUGAAAGGUAAAACAAGUAAAUCUCUGGGGAAUAUUUUUUCUCUCUUUUUUUUUUCUUUUUGUGGCCUUCUGUUUGGCUUCUUAUUCUUUUCUAUUUUUUUUUUAUCCCCAGAAACUCACGCAAAAGAAGUUAAGACCGGAAAGCUGCACGUCGGUCUGUAGGAGAAUAGCAAAGGCUGUAGUAAGGAAAACUCAGAAAAAUAUGAGAAAAUAUGGGUUAGAAGCGUAUCAAAACAAGCUUUCCAACAAGUGCAAGAUCACUCGAAACGGAGGUCGGACGGUGGAGAAAACUGAGAUAUACUGCGCUGCCCCGGUGCCGUAAAACGGGUGCAGAAACUUUGGAGCUCGAAAAGUCCACCUUAGAGGCCGAAUUUGAGGGUCAAAGUGCAGGGCGUUGCCCUGGAUAUUUCCUGAUGCACCUCGUCGUGAGCUUUCCAAAAAGUCCAAGAACGUCCAAAUCCGAGUUGGUAUGCAAAAGAUACGUCCGUUUUACUGAACACGGGUCAAACCCACCCGAAACUAAAAUUCUACUCGGACUCGGGUCCGAAACUGACUCGAACUCUUUCUCUCUUUUUUUUUUUCCGUUUUUUUUUUUUUCUUUCUUUCUUCCUUUUUUUUUUCUUUCCCUUCUUUUUUUUUUUUCACAACUUUCUGAACAACUUGAUCUCUAAACAAAAAUCGAUCUAUUAUGAAACACUUUCCAAAAGCACUCUUGAUUGGACUCGGACUCGAACUCGCGGCUGAAAACUAUAACUUGCCGACUCGAUGUUGGACUCGGUGUAGGACUCAAAGAGGGACUCGGUGUAGGACUGGAAGAGGGACUCGGUGUAGGACUGGAAGAAGGACUCGGUGUAGGACUCAAAGAGGGACUCGGUGGAAGAUAUGGUGGCGGCGGAAGAUUAUGGCGGUGGUGUGGCAGGAAGUUUGGCGGCGGAAGAUUGAUGAAGGAAACCUGCGUCACACGAAGAACAAGAAAACCAAAAGCAAGUUCGAUCUAGUAGAAAAAAUCUGAAAAACGAUCCAAUCUAAUCCAGCAACUCGACACGAUUAAUGCAGCAAAGAUUCAACAAUGCAAAUACUAAUGUGAAAAUUGCAAGGCUCAGAUUGGUUCUAGGACAAGGUAACUAAUUCUAAUUUUUGUUUGGCUUUUUCUGGACGAUAGGUAAAAACAGAUCUAAACUACGGAUAAACUGGAAAAAUCUCACCGAGCAACCUUAAGCUCUGAUACCACGUGAUAGCCU
rnacentral:lncRNA from 1 species